CCUGUUAUGCUUCCAUCUGAACCUGGGCUGUAGACAAUCAAGUUUCCAGCACACUUGUGGUCUCCAAUGUGAGAGCAAGCAGUAACAAAUACCUGAUUUGUCAAUCCUCGCAGCUCAGCCUCCUCUUUGAACUUAUCAAUGAGAAUAGGUCCACAAACUCCACAUUUUUAUCUCGACUUCCAUGUAGACCUGUAAACGGGUUAGGUUUAUUGGGUUUGGGUCGGGUUGAACCCGACCCGUUAAGUUAACGGGUCACCCGAACCCGACCCGUUAAGCUAACGGGUCACCCGAACCCGACCCGUUAAGCUAACGGGUCACCCGUUUCACCCGUUAACACCCGUUAACAAUUAUUAUUAUUUUUUUUUUGCAUAAAGUUUAUUUUUUGUUAUUAAAACUUUACUAAAAUUACUAAAAUAUCCUCAACUAACGGGUGCUAACGGGUGUUAACGGGUCUAACGGGUUGACCCAAAGUGACCCGUUAUUUAACGGGUGUUAACGGGUUCACCCGUUAGCGACCCGACCCGUUAAGCAUCCACCCAAAUACAAAUAUUAACGGGUUGGGUCGGGUUAACGGGUUGGGUCCAAAAUGCCAGGCCUACUUCCAUGUGCACAUACAAAUACAUGGGAGCCAGUCAACGCCUCUUGCACUACGGAAGCCCAUGGUUUGUCGUUCACAAGGACAUCAAUUGGUUAGAAACCAAGCCAUGUUACCGGCACACAGCCUCAGAGUAAACAAGGAAAAUUUCAAGGUAUCAACACUAAAACUAGUCCAAAACACACUAAAUUAGCUCAAUUCGAGACUUCGUAAAUUGAAAUGGGAAAAUCAUAAACUCUAUCUCUAGUUAGCAAUCAUCGAAAUCUCCUAGUCAAAUAAAGCAAAUCUGAAGAAUCAAAACACCACUCACUGGUUAAUUAUCUAAAUCCUAUAAAUUUCGGUUAAAAUUAAGCAACUACAGAACAAAAACAUCUUUACCUGUAUUUGAUCAUUUGUGGGAAAAUCAACACUUCGCCGUCGGAAAACUCAGUUCCUUCGCGUCCUUUAAUUACUGUCGGGUCUAUCAAAAACCAAGAAAAAAGUGAGUAAUGGAGUCAACUCAGCUCAACACCAGAACUCAGUAGCUCCAGUAAAUAAGAAACGGCAAGAAAAGCGAAACGCCGACGAGUUGAACUGCAAAACGGACCUUAACGGCGAUGUCGUUCUUGCGAGCUUUGAGAGCGGAGGCGAAGAACUUAGGGAGCAGAACGGACUCAGAGCCUUCGACGCACGACGGCCAGGCCUCGGGGGUCUUGUAGCAGAGUAAGACGUGGCGGUCGUACGCGUUGACAGUGCCAGCAAGUUUUUCCUUGCACAUCUCCAAUCUCUUGAAACCGAACCUCUCGUCUUCGGUGGCUGGAACGGCGACGUCGAGGUCAUCGGAGACCAUUGCUAGGGCUCGGAGAGGAGGGAGGGGUUUACCAGGGGUUGAAGUUGAAAACGAUGAGAGGGAAAAGAUGAGAGAGAAAGAGCGUUGUUGUUUGGUUGUUGUGUUGAUAUAACGAGGAGGCUGAGAAGGGAACCGCGGUGUCGGUGUGGGUGUAGGUGCGUGCGCAACACAUACGGCGCACGAUGGGGUUUCUGAAGAUCGGAGUCGGGACGCGUGGGAUUGGGCACGUGGGGUUUGAUUUGUAGUUCAUGUAUAUACCUCUUUUUUGAGAAUAAAGAUUUUUUUUGGAUCCUCUUUGUAGGGAUUUUAUAGUUUGUGUAUCGUAUUCAUUCAUUGUAAAUCAGACGGUUAGAAAUUACUUUAAAUCUAUAAAUUUAAAAUUAAACACAAAUAAUAUUUAAAGAAAAUUGACUGCAUAAUUAAUACGAUAAACGAACACAAUUAAAAAAUUCUCAGAAUCCUCGUAAAAAGAAUCCGAACUCUUUUGAUGUCUCCGAUCAUAUCGGACGGAAGCUAAAAGAUAAUUCGUGCACGCAAAAAUGGAAGGUCCUACAAACGGAGGAGGACCACUCUCUAUUCCCGGGAAGUGGGGUACAAGCGCGUAUGUAUAUAUCACCCAAUGGGGCACCAAUAUGUUGUACUAGCAGGGAACUGAAUGAGGUGAAAUUGGAAAAUCCCUUAAACUUGGUGAUGUGGCGACCUGUGAUUCGGCCUUCACAUUCUGUCAAGAAACAGGCCGGUCACUUUGUUGAUUAAGUCAAGCAGUCAGCCUUAGCCCGACGUGGACAAGUUCUGGAAGUCUUGUUUCGCUCAUUUAUUUAUUUCUUGUCAAUGACGUGUAAUAUUUGAUUUCAUUUGUUUUUUUGGUGGACUAAUAUUAAAUAUACUUUUGUCAAUGAAUUAAUGAUACAAUUUAGAACGGUGAUAUUCACACAUUUUGCACAUAUUCUUCAAUUUGAUAGUUGAAAAUUGAGAAGAAUGUGUGUGAAAUGUAAAAAGAACGUGUAAAUAGCAUAUCCCUACAAUUUAAUAUAAAGGAAUGUAGAUUUCAAACAACGAUUGUUUUUUAAGGUAACGCUUUUGUUCUUGAUUUUUCAUGUUUGAGCUUGAAAUGAACCGCUUUCAUAAUCUAUUGUAUUACUUUGUGUUCAGUUGAAUAAAGUAUCUUUUUCCAACGAAAAAUAAACGGAAUGGCAUUUAAAUAAGGAGUGUAGAGAGUGUAUGCGUAAGGAAAGAGGCAUGCAAAAUUCAUUUCAGCUCAUACAUCUUUGUGUUGCUUAUGUUGGUCUUUCAAUUAAUUAUGUUGAGAGUGAGGAAAUAAAUUGUACUUAGCAGUGUCAAAUUACAACCCUAAUCGAAAAACGUCUUGUUCGCCGGACCUACUCGACUGCUCCGAACAAUGUAAGGCCGAAAGGCGGACGAUACAUAAUCGGGUUUUUUCGAAGUAGGCAUUCAUAAACAUCAAGGAAGCAUACUUGGUAGAAAAUGAAAGAUCCUCAACUUCAUUCCUCAAAUUUUCAAUGCAAUUGAAUUUCCUCAAAUCUAAGGAACUACCAGAUUGUAAUGCUUGCAAUGGAAGGGAACCAUUGUGUACAUGUAGCAUCCACAUGAAUCAGUUGGAGGCUUGUUGGAGUUUUUAACGGAAUGACCAAAAUGAUGGAUGGUAGACAAUCUCAAGGACCACUUUUGAUUAUUUACCCUUCUAUUGAAUUUGCAAAGGGGAAGAAGUUUUAAAUCCAUUACAAAAGAGAUAAUUGCAGCAUGAUUGAUAACAUGCUCAUCACGUGAUUGGGUUCCUAAAAUUCCCAGGUUGUUGCAGGCUUCCUCGUCCUUGUAGAAUAUUUUGUUCAACAAUUCCAGAGAAAAACAAUUAUUCGAUUCGUUUCAGGUAACAGAUGAGUAGCUUAAUUCAAAACUUGUUUUCGUUCUAGAAGUUUAGAUUAUACAAGUGAAUGGUCAAUAUGAUAUACUCGAUAAAAUUACAUGUCUCCUUUUAAAUUUAAAGUUCAUUAUUUUGAAGUGAUUUUUGGAAUUUAAUUUUUCAAUUUAUUUGAUUGAGAGGUGAGGAAUUGGAGAUAAUUAAUUAUGUUUGGGGGUUAACUGGUAUCCUCUAGAAUAUGUUUUUUUUUUUAAUGAGGAAUCCUCUAGAAAAUGUUUAACUUUAUUUUAAAUUUUCAUGUGGUUUUGGCUUCAAUGAGGCAAUGGCAUAUGUGUAAAUAAACAAAAGUUUAAUUCUAACCUAAGGGGGCUGACGGAAGUCAGGGGCAUGGAUGGAAAAGGAGUUUCUUACUUUGCACGUGGGGCUUUAUUGUUUGGGUUAUUCCUCCUAGCUUUUGUCAUUUUCAUUAAAAUUUAAAUCUUUUUAUUAAGUAAAAUUAUUAAAUAGUUUUUUUAUUAAGAAAUUGUUAUUAGGAUUCUAAAAAUCUCAUUUAGCAUUCUAAAUUUUUUAUAAUUAGAAAAAAAAAUACACUUAUAAGAAGUGUAAAUGAGAUUUUUGAAAUGCUAAUAACAAUUCGAUUUUAUUAAUAAAAAGUUUGAAGAAGGCCUUUUCAUUAAAAUUCCCCCAAAAAAAAAGGAGUAUGCUUCUUCCUAAAACGCUUCUUUAGGCCAUAUAAACAAACAGUGAGACGUAAAAACAUGCCCCAACCUCAAAUAUUUCUCUCACAAACAAGGAGAGAAUUUUCAGUGUGACCGGUACACAAGGUGGUACACCACGUAUCACUAAACAAAUAAUAGGAUAUGUGUGCUAAAAAGUUAAUAACUUAAAAAAUAAAAUUUCCCACUAUUCUUAUUAAAACACGUGAUGUAUCACUUAUAUUCCCGUCACAACUAAAAAUUUCCCUACAAACAGAGAGACGUAAAAACAUGCUGCCAUGGGCUUCAGAGAGGAAAAAAGAUCAGGAAAAAAAAUGACCUGAUUGGGUAAGACUUGUACACAAGUUUGUAGUAAAUGUCUACGUACCUUCCUUACAAGUCUGUCUCUUUACUGUGCUUUCCUUCAAUUCACUGUUGUUUCUUCAUCGUCAAAGCUUUCAAUAUUAAGAUCAAACCUUAAUGUUUUGCAGACCUCAUCAGAUGAGUGAUCUCUUAACUCUGUACCAUUGUGGGUGUCGUCAUCAAACUCAUAUGGUAUAGUCUAAUAGUCUGCCUCAUCAGUAUCAUCAUCUCACUCUAAUGGUACACGCUCAUAGUUCACAUUUUUUAUUUCUGAAGGUAAACAAUGUUCCCAUCCUACAAAAUUCACUCCUGUUUUCUUCACCUUACGAACCUUGUCCCCCCUUUUCAGAUUGAGCUUCCUGUUUGAAAGACUUCCCAGCCAAAGAUAAUCUUCAUGGGAAUCAGUUAUGGUGGCAUCCAUUCACCAGAUGGAAAAAUAAGUUCUCUGGGUAACCACAUCGAGGCAUAGAGACCCACUACACUGGGAUGGUCCGAAGAAUAAACGAUGCACACAGCCAACCCUCCUAUAUAAUCAAAACUUGGCGGCACUUCAAAUUUGACAUUUUCUUCCUCUCUCACGACAUAGGUUAACGAUUAAGGAAUAACAUUUCAAGAGCGACAAAUUUCACCAAAUACAUCCCCCACCUUCCAUUUCUACAACACGGCGUGCAAAGUUUGUAUAAGCAAACAAUACGAGAAGGGCAGAGCGAGAGAGAGAGAGAGAGAGAGAGAGAGAGAGAGAGAGAGAGAGAGAGAGAGUAUCAUGCAACAAAACAUAAAAACUCAUCUGGGAGAAUUAUGACUCUUGUGAAUUGGUAGUAUUAUCGAUGCAUAUGUUAUAUGAUCUUCAAACUCGCUAUAGCGUGACUUUUUUUUUUUGUAUCUUUUUCAUCAACUUCAUUUGUUUUUUUUUUUUUUCAAGUAGAGCUGAUAAACUUAAAAUUUAUCCACAACCUAAAAAAUGGAAGAAAAAAAAAGAGGUGGAUGUACAAAAUCCUUGCUAUGCCCUCUAUAUUCAACAGAACAAUAAAUUGAGUUAACGGAUAUAAUUGAAGUACCAUAUUUGAUUGUGUUUGAGAACCAUAAUAAGGAAAAAAAAAAACUACUCUAGAAUGAAGGUAAAACUCGUGACAACAAUGGUGUACAUCUAAAAAAUAGUUCAAGCAGAUUAAGAUGUUAGCGCAUAGACAAAUAUCUCGUUUAUUGAACAAACGAUGAGGAUAACAAUGCCGUUUUCUCUCUUUCGAAAUUCAUAAACAACAAAAUUGAGAUUUGUUACACAAAAAUUACCAUAAAUUUUGACAGAAUUGGCGGUUGAAAUAUAAGUCCAGCAUCCAAAUCGAAAACAAUCAUAGGAGCUUAGAAAAUACCACAUCAACCUUUAGCAAGUAGUCUCAUAAGAAAUCCCAAUCAAGAUAAAACCAUUCAACAGUUUAUUAGACUUCUCCUUUCAUAUAAGAGCAUGGUUCGGAGGAUAAUUUAAUUGACCUCAUAACAUCUUUCUACAAAGAAAAAAUGAAAAAGAAAAUAGGGCCUCGACACCUGUGGCAAAACCCGACAUGGAUUAGAGUACUUUUCUGCCUAACCUUCUAUAAAAGCAAUAGGCCACAACUACUAUUGCCACUGCUCCAAUCAAGCUUGACAGCUUCCGUAAGGCAUCCUUCCUGGCACACGACUCCCUGGUUUCUUUCGGCUUUUUUUCCUCACUUCCACCGUUCUCCUCCAAACUUACUUCUUCGCAACAUGUAAAUCCAUCACUAUUAGCACCCUGGCAACAACCUGAAAAGUUCUCAUUAUUCUCAAUUUGAUUGCCCUUUUCUUGGUGAAUCUGAUUGCCAUUUUCUUGUGGCUUCUCCUCAAUUUUCUUAUUUUCUUCUCCAUUUGGAAGCUCCCGGUCAUUGAUUUCUUCAGCUUCAUCAGAAGAUGCUCCCAUUUGGCCCCUGUAACAAAUGAAAUUGAAUUUCGUGUUCAACUAUUUAAAGAUUCAACUCUAAGUUUCGUCAAUAUCAAUUGAGUAAGAACAUGUAUGAUCAAGCUUAAUAAACAAAUCACAACCACAUUACAAAUAAAAACAUAUACAGGGUAAUGCAGUUAUAUCCAAUUCUUUUGUGCUUUCUCCACAAAAGUUCCUCCAUGUUAAUGUAACUCUAUAUCAAUUAAUCUAUCAUACAAGACUAGACAUAAUCAGCAAUUGAAAACUACGACAACACAAGCUUCCGUCCAGUGAAAAUUUCAUCCAAAGAUAGGCAAAACCAAAAACGUACAAACCUCCACAGUCGUUUUAUAAUCUUUCCCUUCCCAAUAUGCUCAUCAAGCAAUUCCGGCACAUCAUCAGGAGUGACGUCGCCAUACCUGCAAUUAAUAAUACAUUUUAUUCAAAUUCCAUUGAUCCCAAUACAACAAAAUUUUAAAUUGUUAUGAUCCGAAUAUUACCAAUGGCCUGUUAUGCUUCCAUCUGAACCUGAGCUAUAGAUAAUCAUGUUUCCAUUGUGGCCUCCAGUGUGAAAGCAAGCAGCAACAAAUACCUGAUUCGUCAAUCCUCGCAGCUCAACCUCCUCUUUGAACUUAUAAAUGAGAACACGUGCACUAUCAUGAUUCCAUUCCUCUCGACUACCUUGUGCACAUACAAAUACAUGGGAGCCAGUCAACGGCUCUUGCACUCUGGAAGCCCAUGGCUUGUCAUUCACAAGGACAUCAUCAACAAAGUUGUCCACAUCCGACUCUUUCAAACCCCUUUGAUCAAGAAACAAAAACAAUCCCAAAAUCACAAAAAGGAAUUUACAGGAAACAAUAACCUAACACUCUUUAAUUCCUUAUAAGGCAAGGAAUUAGUCUUAAAUUGAGUCAUUAAAUUAAAUUUCUAGUACUAAUUUCAGAAGAUAACACAUAUCUAAUUAUCUACUUAGUUCAUGACAUUUAGCACAAUUUCGUAAUCAAAAGAGAAGUCGAAACAGAAAUUACUUCAGUCAAAACUAGGAAAAUAAAUUGCACUGCUCAUCUUGGUUAUGGAAUGGGCCCUUGAUUAUGAAUUAAUUACGGUUUGCCAUUGUGUGCGCUAGUGUGGGCCGUGCUUAACAACUGGGUUGGGCUGCUGCAUUUGGGCACAGGGUGCAGCUCUCAAGCGUUUUGGGCUGGGUUUCACCGAAAGAUCCAAUAACUAUUUUGCCCCCUUCAGUCCUAAUCCAACGGCCACCAUUUUGGGCGUUUGUGUUCUGCAAUUCAGUGGUUGGGGGUUGGGGGUUGUGGUGGGGGGGGGGCGUCAGGAUCUCUUCAAGGAGAUCGUGCAGAGAGGCAGCGAGAUGUUUCGGUUCUGUCUUCUUCGACUCUUAUAUCGUCCCUUUUUUCUGAAUUUUCUUUAUUUCUUAUCCUUUAAACUUUGUAUUUUUUUUUUUGGUGAUGCAGAUAGAUGAACAUGUUCAAAGGGAAAUCAUGAACCACAGAUCACUGCAUCCGAAUGGACCGAAUAUCGUUUGAUUCGAAGAGGUCAGUGAUCAUAAACUAUUUUAUAAACUAUUUUCAUUUUGUUUUUUAAGAAUGAAUUCGGCAAGUUCUGUUUGAAUUUUGUAUAAGUAUCUGCUGAUGGUGGGUGGAUGAAGACAGAACAUGCUAAAUUUGGCCUUUGGUGUGCUCAAACUGGUACGGGGGAUGGUUAAAACUUUGAGCCUGGGAUGCAGUAGGACUAACAGAAAUCCACCACUUGCAGAAUUGUUGUCAAAAUAACUCUGCUAAAAAUAUGAGCUAUACUUCUUGCACUUUGUUUUUACUGUGAAGUGGAAAUAGUCUUUAGAGUGGCUUAUUUGUGAUAAUUGAUAAAGAGGUUUGUGUUUAAGACUUGAGAGUAGUGCGGUGUCUUUCUCGCUGGUUCUGCUCACACCACCUCAUCUAGCCAUUGUGAUGGAGUACACGGCUGGGUGAGAACUCUUCGAGAGAGUAUGCAGUGCUGGCAGAUUUAGUGAGGAUGAGAUAAAGUAGUUUCAAAUGCACAGAAAAUUUCAUUGGAAUUGAUUUUAGUGUAGAGUCUCAAAUAUGGGAUCUCUAAAUGUCCCCUGAAAUGGAAUCCAUCUCGAUUUUUGCUUAGUUUCAGAUAGGGAAGGUUAUGUCUGAAGCAUUUUUACAUAAACAAUCAGUCAUAAUAUAACAAAAACGAACUUACUUUUUCGAUAUAAUUGUUGUUUUGCAUCAGGCAAGGUUUUUUCCUCCAGCAAUUGAUAUCAGGAAUUAGUUGCUGGCUUUUGAUGGUAUGUAAUGUGGCACUUUUCUGCUAAUCGUAUACUGUUAUUUCUCUUUUGAUAUUGGAAGUGUUGGUUGUAGUAAGGAAAUAAUUCGUUUCAAUAGUUUACGACUUAGUUUUAAUAGUAUAUGACUCAGUUUUUGAAUAGCACUCGGGUGGUUUUUGAAUAACAGUAUUACGACUUAGUUUUCUAAAUGCCAAUAACAGCUCUAGAUUUUGUCUCAAGUGGAGUAUUCUUACUAAUGUAGCAUUUUGUUGGCGCAUCAGUAUGUUUUGAUUGUUUCUCUGCUUGAACAGAGAAUUGUUAACGUCCAGGUGGGAACGUGGGUUGGCUCAUGUUUUAAUCUCUCCGUUGUAAGCAAUUUUACAUGGUAUUCUUCAAUGUAGCUAUAGGUAAGACAACAGUCUCAGUAUUCCAUAAUCUAACCACCAUUUGAACUUUUUUCAUCCACCAAGCUAAGCUUUUAUGUGCCAUCUUGAAUGGUUAUUAUAAGUUAUUGCUUCAGAUUACUCCAGUGCGACAUUAUUGUUCUCUUCCUUACCUCUCAAGCUUGCUUAAUGUCCUUAUUCUUAUUACUGUUGUAUUGUUAAGAAAUACUCAAAUGCGGUUUCAGUUCAUCAUUAUGAAUCAGAUUAAAAUUAACCACUCACUGGUUAAUUAUCUAAAUCCUAUAAAUUCAGAUUAAAAUUAAAGCAACUACAGAACAAAAACCUCAAGAAAUCAACACGAAUUUACCUGUAUUUGAUCAUUUGUGGGAAAAUCAACACAUCGCCAUUGGAAAACUCAGUUCCUUCGCGUCCUUCAAUUACUGUCAGCAACGUCUAUCAAAAACCAAGAAAAAAGUGAGUAACGGAGUCAAUUCAGCUCAACACCAUAACUUAGUAGCUCCAGGAACUAAGACACGGUAAGAAAAAAUAAUCGGAAAUGCUGACGAAUUGAGCUGGAAAAGGGACCUUAACGGUGAUGUCGUUCUUGCGAGCUUUGAGAGCGGAUGCAAAGAACUUAGGGAGUGGAUCGGACUCAGAGCCUUUGAUGCGCCAUGGCCAAGCCUCGGGGGUCUUGUAGCAGAGGAAAACUUGGCGAUUGCUCAACUGCGUAUCGUCCUUAGUGUCUUCAUCAGACUCAUAUGACAUAGUCUCAUAGUCGUACCAAUUAGUACGACCAUCAGACAAAUCCCAUUUUACAAUAUCCACUCCUGUUUUGUUCACCUUAAUAAUUGUAUUAUCUAGUCCAGAAAAUUCUGCUUUUACAAGAACCAUGUCACCGCUUUUCAGAUUGAGCUUCUUGUUUGAAAGAUUUCCCAACCAAAGAUAAUAUUCAUGGGAAGCAGUUACGGUGGCCUUCAUUGCCCAGACGCGAAAGUUAGUUCGCUGGGUACGAUUAACAACACCAAUGGUUAGAAUCCCAGUACAGUCAGAGUUGUCCGAAGAAUAAACGAUGCCCAAAGCCAACCCUCCUAUAUAAUCAAUACUUGGCGGCACUUCGAAUUUGACAGUUUCAUCCUCUCUUGCGACAUAGGCUAACCAGUUAGGAAUAUCAUUUCCAAAGAGAAAAAUUCCACCAAAUGCAUUUUUCUACACCAUGGGGUGCAAAGUUAGUAUAAGCAACAAUACGAGAGAGAGAGAGAGAGAGAGAGAGAGAAAGAGAGAGAGAGUACCGUUUUGGAGGUUCUCCUUAAAAGUAUCAGUGAGACUGGUACACCCUUCCAUGUGAAUUGAUUCCAUGUAGUCCAAUGAGUUCUCCAAGUUUGGAAUAUCUUUGAGUUUGCGGCAGUCUUUCAGUUCCAAUUUCCUCAUUUUCGACAUCUCUGAAAAGUCGGACGUUAUUUCCAGUGCAGUGCAGUAAUUCGCUUCCAGUAGAAGCAAACUGUUCGGCAAAUCUGGGAUUGCCUCAAGGUUUGUGCAAUGAUUUAGAUGUAAUUCCUGAAGCUGAGAAAGGCCAUUGAGAUUGGGCAGCCUAUUAAAACCAUUCCCAUAUAGAACUAAAUAUUUUAAAGAAGAUAGACUCCCAAUUAUUUCGAGAAGGGCACCAUCUGUUAUAUUGCAGUCGCUGAGACCUAAUGCCUCAAUCAUCUUCAGUUGUAGUAAAAAAUGGUAACCCCUACACAAACCCUUACAGCCACUGAGGUUCAAUUCCUCGAGAUGUGGGAGUUUUGAAAAGUCUAGUAAUUCAGUCAGGUUAUGGCAGUCUUUAAGAAUGAGACACUUCAACAUCUUAGGCAACUUCUUAGGCAACUGUUACUCAAAAAGUGAAAACAAUAAUAAAAAUAUAAAUAAAUAAAAGAGAGAAUGCAUGCCGAUGACCGAUGUUGAUAUUUACAAGGACAUUGAUAAUUAUAUCGUACCAGGUCUGAAUCAUCCCAAACUCGUACAAGCUUGCUAUUUCUCAGGUCAAUAAAAACUAGGUUUCGUUGAUCAAAAUCUGCUGGUAUGGCUUCAAGGGGAAAUCCAUCCCAAACCAACAAUCUUAACUCCUUGGAAAGAUGUUUGUAGCUUCCAGUCAGCUUUACAAUUUCCAGCCGGAUAAAUUUCAGACGCCGCAUCUUCUUAAACGCUUCUGUACUGAAGCUUUCCUCGUCAUCAGAAUCUUCUGGCAACCUUAAGUUUAGUCCUUCAACUGCUUCUGUUCCCUGUUAGAGAUAUAAAAAAAAAAAAUGAUAAUAUUCACACGAAGCAGAGCCGUGAAUUGGAUGAAUGAGCUACUAGAAUGGUAGGGCAUACAACAUAAUUAAUUAUGUAUUUUCUCUUUCAAUUUACAGUGGAUGAAAGCCUUUUCUUCUUUUUCUUCAAAUAUAGGCAUACAUUAUAUAUAUGCGGAUAUGUGUAUACACUUCUCUUUCUUUACAUGUACUUAACAUAACAUCUUUUUAUUGCAAAAGUACUUACUGAUUCGUUCAUGAGCACGUUUUUUGCAUCUUCACUAUGCCACAAUCGGCUACGUUUUCCCAAUUCCACAAGAGAUUCUGCCCGCACAAUUUCUCUUCCCAUAUCUCGAAUCAAAUCAUGCAUCCUCAAGUAUCCCUCUUCAUCAAUAUAUAAGAGACAUCGUUCGUAAAGUGUGAUAAUUUCUGCUUCUACAGAAAAACUACUACAACCAUCCAAUAUUGCCGUGACAAAAAUUUUACUCCAUCCAAUAAAGAAACAAGAUAUGUCAAGGAAUACACCCUUCACAUGAUCAUCACGUAGCCCAUCGUAACUUAAUUUAAGCGUUUCAUGAAUUUUUCCAUCUGGAAUAUUUCUCAAUUUAUCCAAUGUACUUUUCCAUAUGCUUUUACUCUUUUUUGUAGCCAACAACUUCAAGAGCUAGGGGCAAUCCUCCACAAUAAUCAAUAACAUCUCUUGCGAGCUCAAUAUAUUCUUUAUCUGGACAAUCAUUUCCAAAGGCAUGCCAACUAAGAAGCUUAAGAGCUUCGUCAUCAGUCAUUCCUUGUGCUUUAUAUCUUUUAUCCACCUUUUGUAUAUUCAGCACUUGUUCAUCUCUUGUCGUUAUAAUAACUCUGCUCCCUGGACCAAACGAGUCAUGUGCUAUUGCCAAUUUAUCUAAUUGGUCCGCAUCAUCUAUGUCAUCAACCACGACAAGUACCUUCAUGCUUCCAAGUCUUUUCUCUAUCUCCUUGGUUCCUUCGGCAACACUGCUUACCUUAAUGUCAAGCCGUUUCAAAAUAUCUCGAAGAAGUUGUUCUUGGAGACUAACCAUAUUUUUCUUGUUACUCCUCACCUCUUCAAGGUAACAUUGACUGCUGAAACUGUGACUAUAUUUGCUACAAAUCUCUUUGGCAAACGUUGUUUUACCUAUACCGCCUGUACCCCAAAUUCCAAUUAUUUGAACAUCAGGUGAACCUCCAACGUCUAAGUAUUUAGUGUUGAAUUCUUUCACGCGAAGAGCUAUUCCAACUGAGUGCUUGGCAUUUUUGAAGUCUCUGGGGGUCAAUCGUCCCUUGAUGUCCCCAAUAAUUUUCUCAAUAAACACUCCUUCGCGCCUACAAGUAGAAAUUCCAAAUUACAAGAGCCAUACUAAUGCCUUAUUCAUCAUGACUAUAUAUUUACAUAUUGAAACAGGUUUGAAUAAAUUGUGAUUUACUGAGCUCAAUUCAACAACGUAUUUAAUCUUCAAUUAUAAUGUGAAUAGAUUAGAUCAUUGGUCAUUGGACUAUUACACCAUUGUAGCUUUCAGUUAUAUAAUUAAGAAUCCAUUACAAUUGGUAUUUUAAUUUGAUAAAGUGUGGAGCAUUUGUUCUUCACACACCCAUAAAAAACGAAGCAUUGUACCCUGCAUUUCACUUCCUUAGUUUUGACGGCAAUUCAUAUGCAAAUGCUCUACCAUUUAUAAAAUUCAUAUACCAAUUCUAAUAAAUUUUUAUGCAGUGACCAAAAUUACAAUUCUAUCAUAGUUCAGGGACCAAUGAUCCAAUUUUUCUUCUAACAUAUAAAAUCAUAUUCAAUGCCUUAAUUAUAAUUUCUUAAUUUUGGUUAAUUAGUGAAAUAACUCCGCCUGUGUAAGUUUAUCUUACAUUGCCGGUCCCAAGCCCGGGUAAAGGAGGAGGGGGGAGGGCGUCAGGUAGUCGACAGUCGGCACUACACAGUUACGUCGAAUCCUUAUGAAAAUGAAUCCAUAACGAAAUCGCGCUAAAGCUAGGGCGUCACCCGUAAGUGGCGCGCUGUGUGGCCCGAGCACAGUGAUAAGUGAGCAAGGGUCGCUGUAUCUCCAUAGGCACCCGGAUGCAGUGUUAAAUGAGCAAGGGGGCCAUAGAAACUUCUUUUUGAACGACUCCACUCAAAGUUGUUUAGGAGCAUAUGCUCCUAUCAACUUUACACGGGACACACAAAAGAAGUACUUUGAUUCCAUUGGACGGGGGAGGGUGAAGAAGCUAGGACAGAAGGGUAGAGUUCAAGAGAGUAGAAUGCGUUUAGGAACGUGGAAUAUAGGAACCUUAACGGGAAAAUCUAUGGAAGUAGUGGAAGUUAUGGUAAGGAGAAGGAUAAAUAUUAUGUGCCUAUAAGAAACUAAGUGGGUUGGUCUUAAGGCAAAGGAUCUAGAAAACUCAGGGUUUAAACUUUGGUACUCGGGCACAAAUAGAACGAGAAACGGUGUUGGCAUCAUCGUGGACAAGACCUUGACACAAGAUGUUGUAGAUGUCAAGAGGGUAGGAGAUAGAAUUAUGGCAAUCAAGAUUGUAAUAGGACAAGAACUCAUCAAUGUGAUUAGUGCGUACGCACCUCAAGUAGGGUUGGAUGCGAGUUCGAAGGAGAAAUUUUGGGAAGACCUUGGAGACUUGGUGCAAGGAAUUGCCCAGACAGAGAAGUUAUUUAUAGGAGGAGAUUUAAAUGGACACGUGGGCAGGGAGACAGGCAACUAUGGAGGUUUUCAUGGUGGCCAUGGUUUUGGGGAGAGAAACGAGGAUGGGAAAGCUAUCUUGGAUUUUGCAAUGGCAUAUGAUCUCUUCUUAGCCAACACCUUCUUUAAGAAAAGAGAAGAACAUGUGAUCACCUACAAGAGUGGGUUGUCAAAAACACAAAUAGAUUUUCUUCUAAUUUGGAAAGGGGAUCGUAUAACUUGUAAGGAUUGCAAAGUUAUACCGGGAGAGAGCUUGGCUAAUCAACAUCGCUUGUUGGUGAUAGAUGUACAUAUCAAAAGAGUGAGAAAAAAGAACAAGACUUGGAAGUGCCCAAGGACUAGAUGGUGAAAUCUAAAAGGAGAAAAACAAGUCAUUUUCAAAGAGAAAGUAAUCACCCAGUGUGGGUGGGAUAGAGAGGGGGAAGUUAGCCAAAGGUGGGAUUCCAUGGCUAGUUGUAUACGAAAAGUAGCAAAAGAGGUAUUAGGAGAGUCCAAGGGCUUUGCUCCACACCAAAAGGAAUCUUGGUGGUGGACUGAGGAGGUACAAACAAAGGUGAAGGCUAAGAAAGAAUGUUGUAAAGCCCUAUACAAGGACAUGACCGAUGAAAAUGGUGAAAGGUAUAGAAGAGCGAAGCAAGAGGCGAAGAAAGCUGUGAGAGAAGCUAAGUUAGCGGCUUAUGACGAUAUGUAUAAGCGACUAGCAAAAGAAUGAGAGUUGGAUAUUUAUAAACUAGCUAGAGCAAGGGAAAAGAAGACAAGGGACCUAAACCAAGUGAGGUGCAUCAAGGAUGAGGAUGGAAAGGUUCUUGCUACAGAGAACGCGGUCAAAGACAGAUGGAGAGGUUAUUUUCAUAAUCUUUUCAAUGAAGGACAUGAAAUGAGUACUUCUUUAGGGGAGUUGAGUAACUCAGAAGAGUGUAGAAACUACUCAUUUUAUCGUCGAAUCAGGAAGGAAGAAGUGGUUGUAGCUUUGAAGAAGAUGAAGCAUCGAAAAGCAGUGGGCCCAGACGAUAUACCGAUCGAAGUGUGGAAAGUCUUGGGAGAGACAGGUAUAGCAUGGCUCACUGACCUUUUCAAUAGGAUUUUGAAAAUGAAGAAGAUGCCAAAUGAGUGGCGAAAUAGCACUUUGGUGCCUAUCUACAAGAAUAAGGGCGACGUACAAAACUGCAUGAACUAUAGGGGUAUUAAGCUAAUGAGUCAUACAAUGAAGCUCUGGGAGAGAGUCAUUGAGCAUAGAUUGAGGCAAGAGACACGGGUUUCGGACAACCAAUUCGGGUUCAUGCCAGGGCGCUCAACCAUGGAGGCAAUCUAUCUCUUACGAAUAUUGAUGGAAAGAUAUAGAGAUGGGAAAAAUGAUUUACAUAUGGUCUUUAUAGAUUUGGAAAAAGCGUAUGAUAGGGUCCCAAGAGACAUUCUUUGGAGGAUUUUAGAGAAGAAAGGAGUACGAGUAGCAUAUAUCCAAGCUAUAAAGGAUAUGUAUGAAGGAGCAAAGACUGCCGUAAGAACUUAUGAAGGACAAACCGAAAGCUUCCCCAUAACUGUAGGAUUACAUCAAGGCUCAUCCUUAAGUCCUUACCUUUUUGCGUUGGUAAUGGAUGAGUUAAUAGGACAUAUUCAAGAUGAUCUUCCUUGGUGUAUGCUUUUCGCAGAUGAUAUAGUGUUGAUAGAUGAAACUCAGGAAGGGGUAAAUACGAAGCUUAACCUUUGGAGAGAAGUGUUGGAAUCUAAAGGUCUUCGCCUAAGCCGAUCAAAGACAGAAUAUAUGGAAUGCAAGUUCAGUGCAAAUGGAGGCCAAAAUGAGUUAGGGGUGAGGAUCGGAGAUCAGGAAAUGCCAAAGAGCGAUCGUUUUUUCUACUUAGGAUCUAUCUUGCAAAAGAACGGAGAAUUAGAUGGAGAUCUCAACCAUAGAAUACAAGCUGGAUGGAUGAAGUGGAAGAGUGCAUCCGGCGUGUUGUGUGACCGCCGUAUGCCACUGAAGCUCAAGGGAAAAUUUUAUAGGACGACAAUAAGGCCGGCGAUGCUGUAUAGCACAGAAUGUUGGGCGGUGAAGCAUCAACACGUACAUAAAAUGGGUGUAGCGGAGAUGAGGAUGCUUCGUUGGAUGUGUGGGCACACGAGAAAGGAUAAGAUUAUGAAUAAGGAUAUCCGAGGUAAAGUAGGAGUAGCCGAAAUUGUAGAAAAGUUGAGAGAAAAUCGGUUACGGUGGUUUGGACAUGUGCAAAGAAGGCCUACUGACGCUCCGGUUAGAAGAUGGGACUACGGGACAGAGGUUCAAGGCCGAAGGGGUAGAGGAAGACCUAGGAAAACUUUGGAAGAGACUCUAAGAAAAGACUUAGAGUAUUUGGAUUUAACAGAUGACAUGACACAGGACCGAGCACAAUGGCGUUCUAAGAUUCAUAUAGCCGACCCCACUCAGUGAAGAAGGCUUUGGUGUCUUUAACACAAUACGUUGGAAAUGAAGCAAAGCUUAUGUAUUGAUAUCUCCGAUAAGUUACAAAUAUGUACAUAUACAUGAGUCAAAAUAAACAAACAAGAGGGAGCCUUCACAAAGGUUGCUUAGGAGAAGUCUCAGCAGUCGGUAGAGCCCCAGAAAGAGAAGGCACCGGAGGGGGAUCAUUCGGAGCCUCAGUACUGGACAGAACCCUAGAAGGAAGAGGCAUCGGAGGUUGAUCAUUUGGAGCUUCAUUAUGCAGUACAGCCCCAGAAGACGAAGGCAAUAAAUGCCUUUGGAACAAACCCACAAACCGCUGAUGAUCAAGUAAAACUUGACCAUCAGAUUCCUUCAUCUGGUCAAGCUUCCUCUUCAUGUUUAUAACAUAGUUAUGUGCGAGCCGGUGCAACUGUUUAUUCUCAUGCUUGAGCCCGCUAAUCUCCUGUUUGAGACUCAUCACUUCAGCCGCCAAUGAUUCAACUUGGCGGGUUCGAGCAAAUAGGCGUUGGGCCAUAUUAGACACAGAACCUGCACACUGAACACUCAGAGCCAGAGAAUCCUUAACAACCAAUUCAACAGACCGUUUGGAAAGUAGUCUGUUAUCUUUGGGAGUGAGAAGGUUCCUGGCCACCACCGCAGCGGUCAUAUCAUUCUUCAUCACAGAAUCCCCAACGGUAAGAGGACCAGUAGGGGAUAAGAAGGAUGGGCGCCAUAUGUUGUCUGGAGAAGGUGUGGCUGCCUCUUCAACAAGGUUCAAGUCAAAACGACGGUCGGAGGGGCCAGACAUUUUCAAAGGUGUUGAAGAGAGAAAAGGUCAGACAAAUCAAGAUCUUAGAAGUGCAAGAAGGGAGCUUCUACUGGUGAAGAUUCAGGUGUGCUUUGAAACUUAAUGCCAGCCUCUAUAAAAAUCUGCACUUGACGGAGCUUCAGAAAUCAAAGAGGCAUCUGCCCAGAAAUCGAAGAGGCGUUUGCUUUCUCAAAAGUUGGGCUGCUCAGAGACCACGAGGGCCGAUUUCAGAAAUCGAAGAGGCGUUUGCUUUCUCAAAAGCUGGGCUGCUCAAAGACCACGAAGGCUGAUCUCAGAAAUCGAAGAGGCGCUUGCUUUCUCAAAAGAUGGGCUGCUCAGAGACCACAAGGGCCGAUCUCAGAAAUCGAAGAGGCACCUGUUUUUUUUUUUUUCAGCCUUGUCAGCAUCUGUCACAUGCACACUCAGCUUUGCUGAAAUUACGGGCAUUCUGGUGAAGUAGAAAGCACGUGAAUCUUAUUGUUCAAUCAUCCACUUUUCACACGCACCAUCAGCUCAUGGGUACCACAGAUAACUUUGCCAAAGAUCUCUGACAAAGUUUAGACACGUGAAGCUUGCAGCUCCCACUACAUCGCUAUGACCAAGAAGGGUAAAAUAAUAGCAAAGAAACAACACUAACAAAGUUUAGACACAGAAAUUUUGAAGGUCUAGCUAUCAUAUUAUUACCCACAAGGGUAAAGGAACAACAUCACGGCUGGAUAAUUGGAAAGUCCCUGUGUGUCAACCUCUGUGCUCCAUGGCAAGGUAGACUAGCAAACAUGCCCUACCUUUACUCACAUUCGAGAAAACACUCCAAACAAGAUUGCUUGCUCCAAAAUCGAAGAGGCACCGUCCUCCGAAUCUUGAGAGCCAGACUCCCAACAUGAUUACUUUCUCAAAAAUCGAAGAGACACCGCUCUCCGAAUCUCGAGAGCCAGACUCCCAGCAGGAUUGCUCUCUCAAAAAUCGAAGAGGCACCGUUCUCCGAAUCUCGAGAGACAGAUCCCCGACAGGAUUGCUUGUUCGAAAACUGAAGAGGCAUCACUUUCUCAACUUCGAGAGCCAGAUCUCCUUGGAUAAAGCUUGUCUGUAAUCUUCACACGCAACAUCAGCUUUCCAGAUACCACAGACCACUUUUUCAAAGUGCUCUGACACACGUGAAGCUGGCAGCUCCCACUACCGUGCUAUGACCAAGCAGGGUAAAGGAAUAGCAUUACUACUUGUUGUUAGGGAGACUCCUAUAUAUGUCGACCUCCAUCUUCAACGGACAGGCAGACCUGCAAAAAUGCUCAACCAUUCCUCAUAUCUGAGAGGGCACUCCCAACGAAGCCUCUCGAAAUACUCAGCUUUCUUUCCCCCCCCCCCCCCGAUAAUACCUUUGCAAACAAGCUACACCAGAGCAAGAAUAUCUCAUAUCAUCAGGGUUAAAAGCAAGAGUAUCCUAUAUCAUGCUAUUUCCCUGUCUUUUCCUUUGGCCUUGUUCUUACCUGCAAGACAAGGAGAACAUCUACCUAUGAGACAGAUAAGGCAAGUGAAGACGAUACCACACUUCGGUACUUAGAAGUUUCGUGAUUACGAUAUCAUUCUCCCACAAUAUUUCCUUAUGUCAUUUGUACUAAAUCAUUCAUUUGUACCCACUAAAGGAGAGCUUGAACCUAUGUACUUGUGUAAACCCUUCACAAUUAAUGCGAACUCAUCUACUCCAUAGACGUAGCCAAUCUGGGUAAACCACGUACAUCUUAUGUUUGCUUUCCUGUCUCUAUCCAUUUACAUACUUAUCCACCAUAAUGACCAGAGCAAUAAGUUAAUACUUUCUGUUGUACCAAAGUCCUCACUGAUUUUUUGCAUCAACAAGCCUUAAGUCCUUACCCUUUUGCGUCGCAAAUGAUAUAAGGUUGAUAGAUGAAACUCAUGAGGGGUAAAUGCGAAGCUUAACCUUUGGAGAGAAGUGGUGGAAUCUAAAGGUCUUCGCCUAAGCCGAUCAAAGACAGCAUAUAUGGAGUGCAAGUUCAGUGCAAAUGGAGACCAAAAUGAGUUAGGGGCGAGGAUCGGAGAUCAGGUAAUACCAAAGAGCGACCGUUUUCGCUACCUAGGAUCUAUCUUGCAAAAGAACGGAGAAUUAGAUGGAGAUCUCAAUCAUAGAAUACAAGCUGGAUGGAGAGGUGGUCUGUGAAGGUAGUGCGUGUCGUCACCUCUAAAGCUCAAAAACACCUCGUUCUUCCAGCGGUUUGAGCGGCACGGGCAAGACGAAGAGGCUGCGAUGGCGGUUCCAUGGACAGAGCUGAUGGUAUCUAUCGAUAAUUGGUACUAGCGUUGGGAGACUAGAGGGAGUGCAGCAGGCUGUGCGGCUUGGCUUUCAGAUAGCCAAAGCUCAGUCAAAUGUCAUCGCCUAAGUAUUAUAGAGAAACAAAAUGCGUGGAGCGAUAUGAAUAUACAUGUACAUGGCAUUGCAUAAGUUUACUACAAAAUAUGGUAACACCCUAAUUUUUAUGGACAUAGUACUAUCAGUAUUUGUGACUAUCUGCAUUGCAACUAUCCAAUAUUGCCAUGACAAUAGUUAUAUCCCAUCCAAUAAAGAAAUUAGAUAUGUCAAGGAACACACCCUUCACAUGAUCGGUACUUAACCCAUCGUAGCUUAAUUUAAGCGAUUCAUGAAUUUUUUUCAUGUGAAAUAUUUUAUUCAAUGUACUUUCCCAUAUGCUUCUACUUUUUUUCGUAGCCAACAAAUGGCCAACAACUUUCUGAGCUAGGGGCAAUCCUCCACAAUAAAGAACAACAUCUUCUGUGAUGUUGAGGUCGUUGCUGUCAACGAUCCCUUCAUCACCACCCGACUACAUGGUAAGUAAUUUACAUGGGUUUCCGCCUGUGACUGAAAACAGGUUCUCAGCUGAGUAGAUAGAAGUAUGCAGGGUUGCCAGGGCAUACAAUUCAUUAGUUGUGGGAUAUGUAUAUAUCUCGUCACGUCCCAUGCAGACACAUACCAACAUUUCAGGAUCGGGUGGAUUGAGUCUUAAAAUUGAAAAUUAGUUUAUAUGACAAAUUGAAAAAAAAAAGAAAAAAAAAAGUAAGCAAGCUCAUAUGACAUUUAAAAAAAAAAAUUCUUGUUCUCAAUUGUAGAACAUAGCUCUAACCACUUAUUGCACAAACACAUAAACCAUGACGAUGAUACGUUUGUUAGUUCUCAGUUUUUAUUUUGGACUUGGAAGUUGUGGGCACGGUGUUGCUGUUAGGAACGGAUUCAACUCUGAUGUACCUCUAACUAAUGCAUUGGUGACCGGUUCUGUCAAAACCGCUGCCAGCUUGUUCCGGUUGCAGAGAAAAAUGUGAUUUCUUGUUGCUCCAUGAUUGCUCUUUCACACUUAACAGGCAAGAACACUUACAUCUAUGAUAGGUGAAGAGAGAAAUUUCCUUGAAAUGAGGUGGUUUAUAGAACACUCAAGGCUCAAGCCAACCCCUAAGAUAUGUCUCUAAUUAAUGAUGUGUAAGACAUACUUACAUGUAAAUUUCUCUAAUGUCACUGAUCAAAUUGGAAAUUAUUAAUUUAUAUUUGUUAAGAUGAUAAGUUACUUAAAAAAAAUAAAAAAAGGACUCGUGACAUUGCUUCUCUAGAAAGUGCUUAAGCUAGAAGUGCUUCUAUUAUAACCACAUUGAAAUUUUUAUUAGAAACUCAAGUACAUUCUAAAAAACCACUUAAGGAUGCUUUUCGAAAAUAAAAAAAAGGCGUAUGCUUCUCCAUGAACCGCUUCUUUGAGCCAUAUGAACAAUUUAAACAAACCCCUAACUAGCGAGCAUGGCCUAGCCCAACCCCCAAUAUUACUCUUAGAAGCAACGAAAUUGAGAUGUAAAAACAUGUUUUCAUGGUCUUUAUAGAGGAAAAAGAUAGGGUAAAAUGACCUAAAUGGGUAAGAUUUAUAAACAAGUUGAUUCAUGCUUCAUAAUUGCAUCAGUUCCUUUGCAGUUUGUAGUAAAUGUCUACGUACCUUCCUUACAAGUCUCUUUACUGCGCUUUCCUUCAAUUCACUGUUGUUUUGUCAUCGUCAAAGCUUUCAAUAUUAAGAUCAAACCUUAAUAUUUUGCAGACCUCAUCAGAUGAGUGGCCUCUUUAACUCUGUACCAUCGUCAGUGUCGUCAUCAAACUCAUAUGGUAUAAUCUGAUAGUCUUCCUCAUCAGUAUCAUCAUCUCACGCUGUCACGCCCCGAUCCCCACAUACGUCCAGGAUCGACACUUGACGUCAUCAAAUAACCACAUAUCUAACAUACCCCGCCUCCAAGAUAUGUACAAAGCACAACUCGAGAAUCGAAUCGCAUAGAAGUAUUUCGUAUACUUUAUGGCUGCAUCUAACCUCUUCGUUAGACUGCCUACAUACCCUCAUUAGGGAUCAAGCCAUUCGUAGUUCGUCAUUCAUUACACCUCGACAUUUAUCACAAUACGUUCAAAUCGAAAAGCAUAGCAUUCCUCAAUCAAUUAUUAGAACUUAACAAGCAUGAAUUACUAGAUUCAUGGUUACAUAACAAAUCCACAUGACAUUCAAGGUUUCCAUUCCAUCCAUCAUAUAAAUCACUAUGUUUUCAACGUGAUAUCUCCAUCCACAACAUGUAACUUAUCCAAUAACCAACGAAGCACAAUAUUAUUCUUAAGCCACAUUGAUCACUAAAUAAUCAUAAUAAUAACAAUCAUAUUCAACAUCAUUCCACAAUUCCCGUCAAUUAAUCCCUUCAUGAAUCAAGGAUGCAUGAUCUUAGCAUUUAACUACGUUAAUCAAUCAAUGAGAUAACAUACCAUUUCACCAAUUCAAUUAGAGAACUCUAUAUAAUUCCCUACUUGGGUUAUGAGUAAUAACAUGGUAAUUCUAAUUUAUAUUCACAAGGUCUAUGGAUAAUUCCCAUUUGCUCGAAUCUAGGGUUCUAGACUAACCUUUUGGAACGUGCAAGAGUAAGGAUUUCGGACCACUCAACGGAAUUCAACCACAUCGGGUUCCAGACCACUCAACGGAACCAAAAUAUCAAUCGGUUUCUCGUAAUCUAUCCAGACCUGUUGCAUGUAAAAUCAGUGCCUACAUCAUGGAAAUGGUGCAUUGGGUAAUUCAGAACUUGGAUAAGUUGUGAAACUCAGGUGAACGACAAUAAUACAAAGUGUGAUAAUAGUGAUAAAACCAACCAUCAAUCACAGUUUAUAAACUUUGAAUAUGAAUCAUUCAUAAGAAAUUAAUACCAAACCUUCGCAAACUCUGAAGGAGUCACCCAAACAUCCAACGGUUCGUCUGAAACAAUCACAACAUCUCAUAACCAUAUUCUCAUACAACACCAUGAAAAGUAGGGUUAGAGCGACAUAGUUCGGCCGAAGCCUAUACCUUUGAAGCUAUCUCAAUCCAAACUCAAUGAAACCCAAGGUGAAUACAAUUCCGGAACUUCACUCAACGGAAUCGCGGAGUAGAAGGGAUUCUGGACCAUCUCUCAUGGAAUCCAAGUGGAUACGAUUCCGGAACAUCACUCAACGGAAUCGCGGAAGGCCAACAACCAUAAUGUACAACGGCUCAAAGAAAUGAGACAAGCACAAGCUACUAAAUUUACAAAAGCUUAACCAAGGGAAAUAAGGCACAUAUGCUAAAUUUAAAACGAAUCAACGAAGAGGGAAAAGAAACAAUAUCGAAGCAACAUAUCCCCAAUCACAACGGGUUCACAGUCCACCACUAGUCUUCACAUUUCAUCACAUCAAGCCAACCAUACAAAGCAAACCAUGUUUCUAAUAUGCACGUCAAAUCCCACAUCAUAAACUAUAACGAUGGCACUUUAUAGAAAACAUAAUCAUAAAACCGUCUCAUACCCUCUCAGGAUAAUAAUUAUGAAAAUAGAGUAAUCACCUGUAACAUAUAUUAAAGUCACUCACCCUUUUUUUUUUAUGUACAUAUACAUGAGUCAAAAUAAACACACAAGAGGGAGCCUUCACAAAGGUUGCUUAGGAGAAGUCUCAGCAGUCGGUAGAGCCCCAGAAAGAGAAGGCACCGGAGGGGGAUCAUUUGGAGCCUCAGUACUGGACAGAACCCUAGAAGGAGGAGGCAUCAGAGGUUGAUCAUUUGGAGCUUCAUUACGCGGUACAGCCCCAGAUGACGAAGGCAAUAAAUGCCUUUGGAACAAACCCACAAAUCUCUGAUGAUCAAGUAAAACCUGACCAUCAGUUUCCUUCAUCUGGUCAAGCUUCCUCUUCAUGUUUGUAGCAUAGUCAUGUGCGAGCCGGUGCAACUGUUUAUUCUCCUGUUUGAGACCUCUAAUCUCCUGUUUGAGACUCAUCACUUCAGCCGCCAAUGAUUCAACUUGGCGGGUUCGAGCAAAUAGGCGUUGGGCCAUAUUAGACACAGAACCUGCACACUGAACACUGAGAGCCAGCGAAUCCUUAACAGCUAACUCAUCAGACCGUUUGGAAAGUAGUCUGUUAUCUUUGGGAGUGAGAAGGUUCCUGGCCACCACCGCAGCGGUCAUAUCAUUCUUCAUCACGGAAUCCCCAACGGUAAGAGGACCAGUAAGGGAGACGAAGGAUGGGCGCCAUAUGUUGUCUGGAGAAGGCGGGGCUGCCUCUUCAACAAGGUUCAAGUCAAAACGACGGUCGGAGGGGCCAGACAUUUUCAAAGGUGUUGAAGAGAGAAGAGGUCGGACAAAUCAAGAUCUUAGAAGUGCAAGAAUGAAGCUUCUACUGGUGGAGAUUCAAGUGUGCUUUGGAACGUAAUGCCAGCCCCUAUAAAAAUCUGCACUCGACGGAGCUUCAGAAAUCGAAGAGGCGCCUGCUCAGAAAUCGAAGAGGCGUUUGCUUUCUCAAAAGCUGGGCUGCUUAGAGAUCACGAGGGUUGAUCUCAGAAAUCGAAGAGGCGUUUGCUUUCUCAAAAGUUGGGCUGCUCAAAGACCACGAAGGCUAAUCUCAGAAAUCGAAGAGGCGCUCGCUUUCUCAAAAGCUGGGCUCCCCAGAGACCACGAGGGCCGAUCUCAGAAAUCGAAGAGGCACCUACUUUUCCAGCCUUGUCAGCACCUGUCACACGCACACUCAGCUUUGCGGAAAUUAUGGGCAUUCUGUCGAAGACUUCUGGGGAAGUAGAAAACACAUGAAUCUUACUGUUCAAUCACCCACUUCCCACACGCAACAAUAGCUCAUGGGUACCACAGAAAACUUUGCCAAAGUUCUCUGCCAAAGUUGAGCACGUGAAGCUUGCAGGUCCCCACUACAUCGCUCUGACCAAGAAGGGUAAAAGAAUAGCAAAGAAAUAGCACUAACAAAGUUUAGACCUAUAAAUUUUGAAGGUCUAGCUACCAUAUUAUUACCCACAAGGGUAAAGGAACAGUACCACUGCUGGAUAAUUGGAAAGUCCCUGUGUGUCAACCUCUGUGCUUCGUGGCAAGGUAGACUAGCAAAACAUGCCCAACCUUUACUCACAUUCGAGAAAACACUCCCAAUAAGAUUGCUUGCUCCAAAAGCCAGACUCCCAACAUGACUACUUUCUUAAAAAUCGAAGAGAGGGUAAAGGAACAGUACCAUUGCUGGAUAAUUGGAAAGUCCCUGUGUGUCAACCUCUGUGCUUCGUGGCAAGGUAGACUAGCAAACAUGCCCAACCUUUACUCACAUUCGAGAAAACACUCCCAACAAGAUUGCUUGCUCCAAAAUCGAAGAGGCACCGCCCUCCGAAUCUCGAGAGCCAGACUCCCAACAUGAUUACUUUCUCAAAAAUCGAAGAGACACUGCUCCCCGAAUCUUCGAGAGCCAGACCCCCAGCAUGAUUGCUUUCUCAAAAAUCGACGAGGCAUCGUUCUUCGAAUCAAUCGAAAAGGCGCUCGCUUUCUCAAAAGCUGGGCUGCUCAGAGACCACGAGGCUCGAUCUCAGAAAUCGAAGAGGCACCUACUUUUCUAGCCUUGUCAGCACCUGUCACACGCACACUCAGCUUUGCAGAAAUUAUGGGCAUUCUGUCGAAGACUUCUGGUGAAGUAGAAAGCACAUGAAUCUUACUGUUCAAUCACCCACUUCCCACACGCAACAAUAGCUCAUGGGUACCACAGAUAACUUUGCCAAAGUUCUCUGCCAAAGUUGAGCACGUGAAGCUUGCAGCUCCCACUAAAUCGCUCUGACCAAGAAAGGUAAAAGAAUAGCAAAGAAACAGCACUAACAAAGUUUAGACACAUAAAUUUUGAAGGUCUAGCUACCAUAUUAUUACCCACAAGGGUAAAGGAACAGUACCACUGCUGGAUAAUUGGAAAGUCCCUGUGUGUCAACCUCUGUGCUUCGUGGCAAGGUAGACUAGCAAACAUGCCCAACCUUUACUCACAUUCGAGAAAAACACUCCCAACAAGAUUGCUUGCUCCAAAAUCGAAGAGGCACCGUCCUCCGAAUCUCGAGAGCCAGACUCCCAACAUGACUACUUUCUCAAAAUCGAAGAGAGGGUAAAGGAACAGUACCAUUGCUGGAUAAUUGGAAAGUCCCUGUGUGUCAACCUUUGUGCUUCGUGGCAAGGUAGACUAGCAAACAUGCCCAACCUUUACUCACAUUCGAGACAACACUCCCAAUAAGAUUGCUUGCUCCAAAAUCGAAGAGGCACCGCCCUUCGAAUCUCGAGAGCCAGACUCCCAACAUGAUUACUUCCUCAAAAAUCGAAGAGACACUGCUCUCCGAAUCUCGAGAGCCAGACCCCCAGCAUGAUUGCUUUCUCAAAAAUCGAAGAGGCAUCGUUCUCCGAAUCUCGAGAGCCAGAUACCACAGACCACUUUUUCAAAGUGCUCUGACAGAGUUAAAACAUGUGAAACUGGCAGCUCCCACUACCGUGAUAUGACCAAGCAGGGUAAAGGAAUAGCAUUACUACUUGUUAGGGAGACUCCUAUAUAUGUCGACCUCCAUCCCCAACGAACAGGCAGACCUGCAAAAAUGCUCAACCCUUCAUCAUAUAUGAGAGGGCACUCCCAACGAAACCUUUCGAAAUAUUCAGCUUUCUUUCCCCCCGAUAAUACCUCUGCAAACAAGCUAUACUAGAGCAAGAAUAUCUCAUAUCAUCAGGGUUAAAAGCAAGAGUAUCCCAUAUCAUGCUUUUUCCCUGUCUUUUCCUUUGGCCUUGUUUUUACCUGCAAGACAAGGAGAAAGAGAGCAAUCAGUCAGCACUUGGAAUCAAGCUUCCAGCCAGGAACUGACUGCCUGGAACCGCUUACCUGAUUACUUACCUGGCAUUGCUCUCGAGUACUCAUCUUCAACAUCUUAUGUUUCCAGGGAAGAUUCCGCAUCUGCUUGAGGAACAGAUAGGGCAAGUGCGAAGGAUACAAGGAAGCAUGUGGAGACAAGCGUAACAGCACACGUGCCGAUACAUCCAUUACUCUGUCAAAAGCAAAAGUAUCCCAUAUCAGCAGGGUGGAACGUACUCUAGAUUUGAUGGACUUGUUUUGACCCUCAAAUUCUUCAGUCGGCCUUAUACUCUGGAGGAAACCAGAAAACCCUCCAGCUCAGUUCAAGAAUAAGCCUGUGGAAAGUUACUUCUUCAAAAGCAAAAGUAUCUCAUAUCAUCUCUUCUCAUUUUUCUUCUCUUUAUCCUUCAUGCUGCUGAAAGAUGGGGAGAAGGUGAACAAUCAGUUGGAGCUUUGAUUGCUUACCUUGUCUGUCACCUCUUUCAGCAGACCCCCUAGCUCGGCGACUUGGGGGACUCCUACUACAUGGUUUGUAUCGCGCUUGACCAAGCCUGAAACUACAAGUAAGCUUCAAGUGAAAUUGAUACAUUACCUUGUGCAUCUCCACCAGUUAAAGAUACCACCCCUGGAUGGAGGAAGAGUACUUCCAGAGAAGAUGCCACAUCUACCUAUGAGACAGAUAAGGCAAGUCAAGACGACACCACACUCCGAUACUUAGAAGUUUCGUGAUUACGAGAUCAUUCUCCCACAAUAUUUCCUAAUGUCAUUUGUACUAAAUCAUUCACUUGUACUCACUAAAGGAGAGCUUGAACCUAUGUACUUGUGUAAACCCUUCACAAUUAAUGAGAACUUUUCUAUUCCGUGGACGUAGCCAAUCUGGGUGAACCACGUACAUCUUGUGUUUGCUUUCCUAUCUCUAUCCAUUUAUAUACUUAUCCACACUAAUGACCGGAGCAAUCUAGCGAAGAUCACAAAAAGCGACCGUUUUCGCUACCUAGGAUCUAUCUUGCAAGAGAACGGAGAAUUAGAUGGAGAUCUCAACCAUAGAAUACGAGCUGGAUGGAUGAAGUGUAAGAAUGCAUCCGGCGUGUUGUGUGUGACCGUCGUAGGCCACUGAAGCUCAAGGGAAAAUUUUAUAGGACGGCAAUAAGGCCAGCGAUGUUGUAUGGCACAGAAUGUUGGGCGGUGAAGCAUCAACACGUACACAAAAUGGGGUGUAGCGGAGAUGAGGAUGCUUCGUGGGAUGUGUGGGCACACGAGAAAGGAUAAGAUUGGGAAUGAGGAUAUCCGAGGUAAAGUAGGAGUAGCCGAAAUUGUAGGAAAGAUGAGAGAAAAUCGGCUCCGGUGAUUUGGACAUGUGCAAAGAAGGCCGAAUGACGCUCCGGUUCGAAGAUGUGACUACGGGACAGAGGUUCAGGGCCGAAGGGGUAGAGAAAGACCUAGGAAAUCUUUGGAAGAGACUCUAAGAAAAGACUUAGAGUACUUGGAUCUAACGGAGGAUAUGACACAAAACCGAGCGCAAUGGCGUUCUAGGAUUCAUAUAGCCGACCCCACUUAGUGGGAAAAGGCUUUGUUGUUGUUGUUGUUGAACCAUACAUAUUAUUUCUCAUCCAUGAAAUCAACAUUUUAACGUUCUAUUCCUAUGCUUGUAACCUUCAUUCUCCAUCCUUUAAUAAACCAACCCAAAGUUAAUGGUUUUUCAACUUAAAACACCACCUCUUCACUCAUGCCACUACCCCUUUUGACAUGUAUAUGCGGCAAUAUAUAUAUAUAUAUAUUAAUUAAGAGAAACUAGAUCGUUUACUAAUAACUUGAAUAUAACUACUAGUAAACAAUCUAAACUCUUAAACCCCAACUAAACACACUCAAAUAAGCACAAGAUUAACAAGGAUGUCAUUUCAACUAUAAUUCCCUUCUAGGUCUAGAUGCUUGGUAACGAAAGAAGUAUCUCAUAAAUCUAAUGUCACAUAUCGGAAAAUUCGACUUUUUCCAAAAAUUCUCAAAUUUUACAAGAAUGAAGGUCUCAACAAGUAGAGUAAAUUUUAUAUUUGUGGCCAAGUCCAAUUUGACCGGGAAGGCUCUCAAAUUGGCUCGUAUCCAUCGAAAACCCUAAGGUGGGUGUUCUUCAAUUCGGCUUCCUUGGUGUUCCAAUGCCCCUACAACUAAUUGGGUCUUGUUCUUGGGUCCAAGAGAAGUUGAUCAAGGGUGAUGUGAAUGGUGAUACUCUCCAGAAUGACAAUUCGUCGUCGAGAACCCCCGGGUUCUCCUAUGGAGUUCUACAUGAAAUAGACCUUAAAAACCCUUGAUAUUUGGUGGAGGUGGAAGGAGGAAUGUAGUUGAGCAGGUUGCAGGUGAAGGAGAUAAGAAAAUCAGUUGAGAAAUGGUAGAAAUUUGCAUGAAGUUGGCCGGAUCAAAACCAUUUUUUUUUUUGUGGUGCACGGGUUCACCAAAUGGGGGGGACUCCUUUCCCUCCUUUUCUUUCUUCACUCGCCACUCCCGUGGCUUUAUCUUUUUUUUUUUUUUUUAAGCAACACAACUUCAAACUUCCGUAAUUAUACCGUUAUAAUCCGGACUCGCAAAUGGUUUUCGCCUAUGCUUUCGUGACUUCAAGACCUAUUCGAAAACGUUACUUGUGACCUCGAAAGGUCAACGAGUAAAUAAUAAUUCCAAACUUCACUCUUCGUAACUAGAUUAAUUGAAAUCUAAUUUCAAAUAAAUUAAUAUAAAUUCUCAAAAAGUAAUAUAAAUCUCAAUAAUACAAUUACGUAGAUUAUAACAGUGAAAUCCAGAAACGGGAUUUCACACACCCUUAUGGUACGCGCUCAUAGUUCACUUUUUUUAUUUCUGAAGGUAAACAAUGUUCCCAUCCUACAGAAUUUACUCCUGUUUUCUUCACCUUAAAUUGAUGAUCAUCCUCUGUUCCAAAAAAUUCUGCAUGCACACGAACCUUGUCGCCACUUUUCAGAUUGAGCUUCCUGUUUGAAAGACUUCCCAGCCAAAGAUAAUCUUCAUGGGAGCCAGUUAUGGUGGCAUCCAUUCACCAGAUGGAAAAAUAAGUUCGCUGGGAAGGAUUAACCACAUCAAUCCAUAAAGACCCACUACACUGCGAUGGUCCAAAGAAUAAACGAUGCACACAGCCAACCCUCCUAUAUAAUCAAUACUUGGCGGCACAUCAAAUUUGACAUUUUCAUCCUCUGUCACGACAUAGGUUAACCAUUAAGGAAUAACAUUUCAAGAGCGACCGAUUCCUCCAAAUACAUCCCCCACGUUCCAUUUCUACAACGCGGCGUGCAAAGUUUGUAUAAGCAACAAUACGAGAAGGGCACAGAGAGAGAGAGAGAGAUCGAGGCUAUCAUGCAACAAAAUAUAAAACUCAUCUAGGACAAUUAUGACUAUUGUGAAUUGGUAAUAUUAUCGAUGGAUAUGUUAUAUGAUCUUCAAACUCGCUAUAGCAUGAUUUUUUUUUUUUGUAUCCUUUUCGUCAACUUCAUCUGUUUUUCUAUUAAGUAGAGAUGAUAAACUUAAAAUUCAUCCCACAACCUAAAAAAUGGAAAAAAGAAAAAAGAAAAAAAGGAGGUGGAUGUACAAAAUCCUUGCUAUGCCCUCUAUAUUUAACAAAAAAAUAAAUUGAGUUAACGGAUAUAAUUGAAGUACCACAUGAGAUUGAGUUUGAGAACCACAAUAAGAAAAUAAGAAAAACUAUUCUAGAAUGAAGGUAAAAUUCGUGACAACAAUGCCGUAUAUCUAAAAAAUAGUUCAUGCAUAUUUAGAUGUUAACACAUAGUCAUUUAUCUCGUUUAUUGAACAAACAACGAGGACAACAAUGUUGUUUUCUCUCUUUUGAAAUUCAUAAACAAAAUUGAGAUUUCUUGGUGACUCCUCUGUCCCUCAGGACCAACAAGGGGUAAUACAGGAAUAUUCACCUGUUGUCCAUUGACUAUGCCUUUUGGCCUGAUCUUAGGCCCCGACUCACUCUCCGUGGACAAACCUUGCGAAGGAACCUUUAGGUUUUCGGGGCAUCGGAUUUUCACCAAUGUUUGCGUUACUCAUGCCGACAUUCUCGCUUCCGCUCCGUCCACGUCUAAUUGCCAUUUUGUUUGGGCUUCUCCUUUCUGUUCUUACCGUCUCUUCCAUUUGGAAGCUUCUGGUCAUUAAUUUUUUUAGCUUCAUUAGAAGAUGCUCCCAUUUGGCCCCUGUAAGGAAUGAAAUUGAAUUUCGUGUUCAGCUAUUUAAAGAUUCAACUCUAAGUUUUGUCAAUAGCAAUUAAGUAAGAACAGGUAUGAUCAAGCUUAUAAACAAAUCACAACAACAUUACAAAUCAGAAACAUGUACAAGGUAAUGCAGUUAUAUCCAAUUCUUUUGUGCUUUCUCCACAAAAGUUCCUCCACAUUAACGUAACUCUAUAUCAAUUAAUCUAUCAUACAAGACUAGAAAUAAUCGGCAAUUGAAAAAUAAGACAACACGAGCUUCCGUCCAGUAAAAUUUUCAUCCAAAGACAGUAGGCAAAACCAAAAACGUACAAACCUUCAAUGCCGUUGUAUAAUCUCUCCCUUCCCAAUAUGCUCAUCAAGCAAUUCCGGCACAUUACCAGGAGUGGCGAAGGGAUACCUGCAAUUAAUAAUACAUAAUAUUCAUACUCCUUCAUCGAUCCCAAUACGAUAAAUUUUAAAUUGUUAUGAUCCAGAUAUUACCAAUGAUCUGUUAUGCUUCCAUCUGAACCUAGGUUGUAGAUAUCCAAGUUUCCAGCAUACUUGUGGCCUCCAAUGUGAAAGCAAGCAGUAACGAAUACCUGAUCCGUCAAUCCUCGCAGCUCAGCCUCCUGUUUGAACUUAUCAAUGAGAGUACGUGCAUGAUAACGAUCCCAUUUAUCUUGACUCAUACGUGCGCAUAUAAAUACAUAGGGGCCAGUCAGCGGCUCUUGCACUCCAGAAGCCCAUGGUUUGUGAUUCAUAAGGACAUCAUCAACAAAGCUGUCCACAUCCGACUCUUUCAAGCCCCUUUGAUCAACAAACAAAAACAACCUCAAAAUCACAAGAAAGGAUUUACAGGCAAGCAAUUAGUCGUAAACGGAGCCAUUAAAUUCAAUUUCUACAACUAAUUUCAGAAGCUAACACAUAUCUAAUUAUCCAUUUAGGUCAGUAAAUUCAUGUUGGUUAUGGAAUGGGCCCUCGAUUAUGAAUUAAUUACGGUUUGCCAUUGUGUGUGCUAGUGUGGCCCAUGCUUAACAGCUGGGUUGGGCUGCUGCAUUUAGGUGUGUGUUUGCUAGCUGGCUGGCUGGUGGGUGAGUCUUAGAUACAAACCCAAUCUUAUUAAUUAAAUUUGGCCUUUGGUGUGCUCAAACUGCUAUGGGGGAUGGUUAGAAUUUUGAGCCCGGGAUGCAGUAGGACCAAGAGCAAUCCACCACUUGCAGAAUUGUUGUCAAAGUAACUCUGCUAAAAAUAUGAGCUAUACUUCCUGCACUAUGCUUUUACUGUGAAGUGGAAAUAGUCUUUAGAGAGGCUUAUUUGGGAUAAUUGAUAAAGAGGUUUGUGUUUAAGACUUGAGAGUAGUGCGGUGUCUUUCUUGCUGGUUCUGCUCACACCACCUCAUCUAGCCAUUGUGAUGGAGUACACGGCUGGGUGAGAACACUUGGAGAGAAUAUGCAGUGCUGGCAGAUUUAGUGAGGAUGAGAUAAAGUAGUUUCCAACGCAGAGAAAAUUUCAUUGGAAAUGAUUUUAGUGUAGAGUCUCAAAUAUGGGAUCUCUGAAUGUCCCCUGAAAUGGAAUCCAUCUCAAUUUUCGUUUAGUUUCAGAUAGGGAAAGUUAGGUCUGAAGCAUUUUUACAUAAAUAGUCAGUCAUAAUAUAACUAAAACUUACUUUUUCGAUUUAAUUGUUGUUUUGCAUCAAGCAAGGUUUUUCUUCCAGCAAUUAUAUCAGGAGUUAGCUACUGUCAUUUAAUGGUAUGUAAUGUGGCACUUUUUUGCUAAUGCGUUGUAUACUGUUAUUUCUUUCUCUUUUGAUAUUGGAAGUGUUGGUUGUAUUAAUGAAAUAAUUCGUUUCAAUAGUAUAUGACUUAGUUUUAAUAGUAUUAUUCAGUUUUCUAAUAGCACUCGGGUGGGAACGUGGGUCGGCUCAUGUUUUAGUCUCUCCAUCGUAAGCAAUUUUACAUGGCAUUCUUCAAUGUGGCUAUAGGUAAGACAACACUCUCAGUAUUCCAUAAUCAAACCACCAUUUGAACUUUUUUCGUCCACCAAGUUAAGCUUUUAUGUGCCAUCUUGAAUAGUUAUAAGUUAUUGAUUCAGAUUGCUCCAGUGAGACAUUGUUGUUCUAUUGCUUACCUCUCAAGCUUGCUUAAUAUACUUAUUCUUAUUACUGUUGUAUUGUUAAGAAAUACUCAACUGCGAUUUCAGUUCAUUGUUAUGAAUCAGAUUCAAAUUAACCACUCACUAGUUAAUUAUCUAAAUCCUAUAAAUUUGGAUUAAAAUUAAAGCAACUCCAGAACAAAAACCUCAAGAAAUCGAUGCGAAUUUACCUGUAUUUGAUCAUUUGUGGGAAAAUCAACACAUCGCCGUCGGAAAACUCAGUUCCUUCAUGUCCUUCAAUUACAGUCAUCGACGUCUAUCAAAAAACCAAGAAAAAAAGUAAGUAACGGAGUCAGCUCAGCUCAACACCAGAACUCAGUAGCUCCAGGAAAUAAGAAACGUCAGAAACACCAACGAAUUGGGUUGGAAAACGGACCUUAAAGGUGAUGUCGUUCUUGCGAGCUUUGAGAGCGGAAGUGAAGAACUUAGGGAGUGGAUCGGACUUAGAGCCGUUGAUGCACCACGGCCAGGCCUCGGGGGUCUUGUAGCAGAAGAAAACGUGGCGAAUGUCCAACUGUGUAUCGUCAUCAGUGUCUUCAUCAGACAAAUCCCAUUUUACCAUAUCCACUCCUGUUUUGUUCUCCUUAAUUCUAUUAUCUCCUCCAUAAAAUUCCGCUUUUAGAAGAACCAUGUCACCGCCUUUCAGAUUGAGCUUCUUGUUUGAAAGAUUUCCCAACCAAAGAUAAUAUUCAUGGGAAGCAGUUACGGUGGCCUUCAUUGGCCAGAUGCGAAACUUAGUUCGCUGGGUACAAUUAACAACAUCAAUGCAUAGAGACCCGGUAGAGUCGGAGUUGUCUAAAGAAUAAACGAUGCCCAAAGCCAACCCUCCUAUAUAAUCAAUACUUGGCGGCACUUGAAAUUUGACAGUUUUAUCCUCUCCCGUGACAUAGGCUAACCAGUUAGGAAUAUCAUUUCCGGAGAGAAAAAUUCCACCAAAUGCAUUUCUCUACAACAUGGGGUGCAAAGUCAGUAUAAGCAACAAUACAGAGAGAGAGAGAGAGAGAGAGAGAGAGAGAGAGAGAGAUACCCUUCGGAGGUUCUCCUUAAAAGUAUCAGUGAGACUGGUACACCCUUCCAUAAGAAUUGAAUACAUGUGGUCCAAUGAGUUCUCCAAGUUUGGAAUAUCUUUGAGUUUGCGGCAGUUCGGCAAAUCUGACAUUGUUUUACCUAUAUUGCCCAUACCCCUAAUUCCAAUUAUUUGAACAUCAGGUGAACGUCCAACAUCUAAGUAUUCAGUACUGACGUCUAAGUAUUCAGUACUGAAGUUCUGCACACGAGAAGUCAUUCCAUCUGAGUGCUUGGCUUCUUUUAAGUCUGCAGUUUUCAAUAGUUCCUUGAUGUUCCCAACAAUUUUCUCGAUAAACACUCCUUCACGCCUACGAGUAGGAAUUCCAAAUUACGUGAGCCAUACUAAAUGCCUUAUUCAUAAUGACUAGAUAUUUACAUAUUGAAACAGAUUUGAAUAAACUGGAUUAAUUGAGCUCAAUUCAACCACGUAUCUAAUCUUCGAUUAUAAUGUAAAUACAUCAGAUCAUUGGUCAUCGGACUAUUACACAAUUGUAGCCUUCAGAUUUAUAAUUAAGAAUCCAUAACAAUUGGUAUUUUAAUUUGAUAAAGUGGAGCAUUUGUCCUUCACACACCCAUAAAAAACAAAGCACGACCCUACAUUUCACUUCCUUAAUUUCAAUGAAAAUUCUUAUGAAAAUGCUCUACCUUUUAUAAAAUUCAUAUACCAAUUAUAAUAAAUUUUUAUGUAGGGACCAAAAUUACAGUUCUAUCAUUGUUCAGGAUCAACGAUCCAAUUUUUCUUCUAACAUAUAAACUCAGAUCCAAUGCCUUAAUUAUAAAAUCUUAAUUUUGGUUGAUUAGUGAAAUAUGGUGAUACGAAAUUUGAAGUAAACAAAAAAGUAUACCCGUCGGCCGUGGUUUUGAGGUUCCAGCCAACCAAAUCUGCAGAAGCCUUAAGAUCCUCUCUCCACUGCUUGACCUCGUUUGGAUCUUCAUCCCAUUCAUGCUUCUGAAAUGCUUUCCCAAAACUAUCAUUCUGUUUCCUGACUUGAGAAGGGUCAACGUCGUAGAAUAUUGGACAUACUAUUUUCCCCUCUUGAUCUUUUAGGCACCUCAUGAUCUUCGACAGCUCCCUCAGGCACCAUCGGGACUCCGCGUACCUCUUCGAGAAGAUGAUGACGGCGAUUCUCGACCCUUCGAUUUCUUGGUCAAGUUCACUCUGUAUGUUUCCCCCCCUUGUGAGCUGGUAGUCUAUGGAAGUGUUGAUUCCGGCAUUGCGUAACGCAAUGAAGAGGUGGUCUGUGAAGGUAGUGCGCGUGUCGUCGCCUCUAAAGCUCAGGAACACCUCGUACUUCCACCGGUUUGAGCUCUGCGAGGAAGACGAAGAGGCUGCAACGCCGGCUCCAUGGGCGGAGCUGCUGGUAUCCAUUGUAGCCUGUAGAAGUGCAGCUUGGCUUUCAAAUAACCAAAGUCAAGUCUUUCCCAAGAUUCCCCGGUGUAGGCAGCCCUUUUAAAUUUUUUUGCAUGGGUCAAUGAUGUCACUGCCGUGUCGAUAACGUGUGAGUGCUAUUCCUCCGACAAUUUAAUUUGUAUAAAUGUCACCAUCAAAUUUUAAUAAAAAUUGUAUAACUGCUACGAUGCAAUUUCCUUUCUUCUGUAGUUUUUUUGAGAAAUCUGCUGCCCAAUUUUGACCAGUUGACGUGCGCAGGUCAAUCCAACUGUCCCUGCUGGUGGACGGAAGAAUCUUUGUUAGAGUAGGAAUUCCAAAUUACGCUUUAUUCAUAAUGACUAGAUAUUUACAUAUUGAAACAGAUUUGAAUAAAUUGGAUUAAUUGAGCUCAAUUCAACCAUGUAUCUAAUCUUCGAUUAUAAUGUGAAUACAUCAGAUCAUUGGUCAUCGGACUAUUACACAAUUGUAGCCUUCAGAUUUAUAAUUAAGAAUCCAUAACAAUUGGUAUUUUAAUUUGAUAAAGUGGAGCAUUUGUCCUUCACACACCCAUAAAAAACAAAACACGUACCCUACGUUUCACUUCCUUAAUUUCGAUGAAAAUUCUUAUGAUGUGACUGCCGUGUUGAUGAAAAUUCUUAUGAUGUGACUGUCGUGUCGAUAACGCGCGAGUGCUAUUCCUCCCACAAUUUAAUUUGUAUAAAUGUCACCAUCAAAUUUUAAUAAAAAAUUGUAUAUAACUGCUACGAUGCAAUUUCCUUUCUUUUGUGAGAAAUCUGCUGCCCAAUUUUGGCCAGUUGACGUGCGCAGGUCAAUCCAACUGUCCCUGCUGGUGUACGGAAGAAUCUUUGUCGGAGUAGGAAUUCCAAAUUACGUGAGCCAUACUAAAUGCUUUAUUCAUAAUGACUAGAUAUUUACAUAUUGAAACAGAUUUGAAUAAAUUGGAUUAAUUGAGCUCAAUUCAACCAUGUAUCUAAUCUUCGAUUAUAAUGUGAAUACAUCAGAUCAUUGGUCAUCGGACUAUUACACAAUUGUAGCCUUCAGAUUUAUAAUUAAGAAUCCAUAACAAUUGGUAUUUUAAUUUGAUAAAGUGGAGCAUUUGUCCUUCACACACCCAUAAAAAACAAAGCACGUACCCUACGUUUCACUUCCUUAAUUUCGAUGAAAAUUCUUAUGAUGUGACUGCCGUGUCGAUGAAAAUUCUUAUGAUGUGACUACCGUGUCGAUAAAGCGCGAGUGCUAUUCCUCCCACAAUUUAAUUUGUAUAAAUGUCACCAUCAAAUUUUAAUAAAAAUUGUAUAACUGCUACGAUGCAAUUUCCUUUCUUUUGUGAGAAAUCUGCUGCCCAAUUUUGGCCAGUUGACGUGCGCAGGUCAAUCCAACUGUCCCUGCUGGUGGACGGAAGAAUCUUUGUCGGAGUAGGAAUUCCAAAUUACGUGAGCCAUACUAAAUGCUUUAUUCAUAAUGACUAGAUAUUUACAUAUUGAAACAGAUUUGAAUAAAUUGGAUUAAUUGAGCUCAAUUCAACCACGUAUCUAAUAUUCGAUUAUAAUGUGAAUACAUCAGAUCAUUGGUCAUCGGACUAUUACACAAUUGUAGCCUUCAGAUUUAUAAUUAAGAAUCCAUAACAAUUGGUAUUUUAAUUUGAUAAAGUGGAGCAUUUGUCCUUCACACACCCAUAAAAAACAAAGCACGUAUCCUACGUUUCACUUCCUUAAUUUCGAUGAAAAUUCUUAUGAUGUGACUGCCGUGUCGAUAACGCGCGAGUGCUAUUCCUCCCACAAUUUAAUUUGUAUAAAUGUCACCAUCAAAUUUUAAUAAAAAUUGUAUAACUGCUACGAUGCAAUUUCCUUUCUUUUGUGAGAAAUCUGCUGCCCAAUUUUGGCCAGUUGACGUGCGCAGGUCAAUCCAACUGUCCCUGCUGGUGGACGGAAGAAUCUUCGUUGGAGUAUCAAUGGGAAGAGACCUCAUCUCCAACAACCUAUCUUAACAAAAGAUGCAGAAAAUUAAACGCCAAGAGGCUACUUUCUUUAUUUUGUGAACAGUAACGAACUAGAAGGAUCAGUGUCGUAAAAUAAGUAAUUUACUUGCCCAAAAUAAGAAUCAAUUUAGCUACGAAACCAAGGAGAUGAUUGAGCUCAAGAUAGCAGCUUUUAUCCUAUCGUCUUGCAAGGAAAACAAGCUACGAAUUGCUUGCAUCAUCCGAAGCUAUCCAACCAAUGGUUGAAUUUCUCAGUCAAGACUAUGCUGAAGGCAUCAGUGUGCAGGCCAGACUCGAUAGCAUAGCCACACUAAACCUCUCGCGCUGCCAUCAGAUUAUUUUGUCUCAGGUCUCUUCGGGCGUAGUGUUCUCAGUAAUAAUCCAAGGCUUGGAAAAAUCAAGCCAACCGGUUGAGAAGGCAAUUGUGCUACUUGACGACAUUGUUUCUUCAUCGAAGACUGCGCUCAAGGAAACUGCAGGUACGUGCAGCACAAUCUGGGUGCUGGUUGAGACAAUCGAAGGGGGAUCGAUGAAAUGCAAGGAGCACGCAGCGAGUAUACUCCUGCUUAUAUGCAAGAGGUGCAGAGAGAACUACAGAGGACUGAUACUGAGAGGAGGAGCAAUGCCCGGACUGCUUCAGCUGAGUGGAUGGGACGCGCACGGCUAACACUGCGGCAUGGAAGUUGCUGUUUCUUUUGACUGUUCCAAUUAUGGUUCGAGAAACAAGCAAUCAAGGAAUAAGUUGACGGUGUGAGUACAACGGCAUUGAGACCGUUCCAAUUAUGCAGGAAAUUGAUGCAGAAGGAGAAAAAGUUGACAGGGUGAGUACAACGGCAUUGAGGCUGGUGGAGGACAUGCUUGCAGAGAUCAGCAGUGGACGAUGAUCUCGACCAAAUUCUGAGCUUUACCAAGAAGAUUAAAAUGUUGGAACAGCCGUUUAUCUCGUUUAUUGAACAAACGAUGAGGACAACAAUGCCGUCUAGCCUCUUUCAAAAUUUAGACUUCUUUCUCAUAAAAAUUGACAGAAUCUACGGUUGAAUUAAAGUCCAACAGGCAAAUUGAAAACAAUCACAAGAGCUUAGAAAAUACCACACCAACAUUUGGCCAGCAGUCUCACAACAAAUCCCACUGUCAAGAUAAAACCAUUCAACAGUGUAUUGGAACAACAAAUUUCAGUUGUGUAAGCAAUCAACAUAAAGGAACACUGAAUACUUUUGUAACUAUAUAUGGAUUAGCUUCGGGAAUUCAUCAAACCCUCCAAAAAAGAACGUAUAGUGUAGCUACCAUAUUCUCCUUUCAUAUAAGAGCUUAUUUAAUUAAUGUUAUAACACCUUUCUACCAAGAAAAAAAAGAAGAAAAUACGGCCUCUACACCCGUGGCAAAACCCGACAUGGAUUAGAGUACGUUUCAGCCUAACCUUCUGUAAAAGCUAUAGGCCACAGCCACUGUUACCACUGCUCCAACCACGGCAGCAGCUGCGAGAACAUCGCUUUGCUCCCAGUUCCCGAUCAAGCUUGACAGCUUCCCUAGGGAAUCCUUCCUGGCACAAGACUCUCUGGUUUCUUUCACCUUCUUUUCCUCACUUCCAUCGUUCUGCUCUAAACUUACUUCUUUGCAGCAUGUAAAUCCUUUACUAUUUGCACCCUGGCAACAGCCUGAAAGGUUCUCAUUAUUCUGAAUCUGAUUGCCGUUUUCUUGGGGCUUCUCCUCGAUUUUCUUUCUCCUCCAUUUGGAAGCUUCUGGUCAUUAAUUUUUUCAGCUUCAUCCGAAGAUGCUCCCAUUUUGCCCCUGUAAGGAAUGAAAUUGAAUUUCAAGUUCAGCCAUAUAAAGAUUCAACUCUAUGUUUCAUCAAUAGCAAUCGAGUAAGGACAUGUAUGAUCAAGCUUAAUAAACAAUUUGACAACAGUGCCUACUUGACCCCGGCCCCCCUUCCCCAAAACCACCUUUGGUUUGGUUUAUCUAUAAAAACAAAAAAAGUAGUUUGAUUUGGUUCACACGAGUUGUUUGAUUUGGUCCCUCAAUGUUAAUGUAACUCCAUAUCAAUAAUCUAUCAUACAACACUAUAAGUAAUCAGCAAUAGGAAAAUAUGACAACAGAAGCUUCAGUUCCAGUGAACUUUUCAUCAGCAGACAGUAGGCAAACCUGAAAACACACAAACCUCCAAAGUCGUUCUAUGAUCUAUCCCUUCCCAAUAUGCUGAUCAAGCAAUUCCGGCACAUCCUCAGUAGUGACGUAGCCAUACCUGCAAUUAUUAAUACCAUAAUAUUCAAAUUCCUUCAUCUAUCCCAAUACAAUAAAUUUUAAAUUGUUAUGAUCCGGAUAUUACCAAUGGCCUGUUAUGCUUCCAUCUGAACGUGGGCUGUAGACAAUCAAGUUUCCAGCAUACUUGUGGUCUCCAAUGUGAGAGCAAGCAGUAACAAAUACCUGAUUUGUUAAUCGUCGCAGCUCAGCCUCCUCUUUGAACUUAUCAAUGAGGACAGGUCGACAAACUCCACAUCUUUUAUCUCGACUACCAUGUGCACAUACAAAUACAUGGGAGCCAGUCAACGCCUCUUGCACUCCGGAAGCCCAUGGUUUGUCAUUCACAAGGACAUCAUCAACAAAGCUUUCCACAUCCGACUCUUUCAGGCCCCUUUGAUCAAGAAACAACAAACACCUCAGAAUCACAAAAGGAAUUUACAGGAAACAAUAACCUAACACUCUUUAAUUCCUUGUAAGGCAAGGGAUUAGUCGUAAACUGAGCCAUUAAAUUCAAUUUCUAGAACUAAUUUCAGAAGCUAACACAUAUCUAAUUAUCUAUUUAGUUCAGUAAACUCAGCACAAUCUCGUAAUCAAAAUAGAAGUUGAAACAGAAAUAAAACACUAAAUGCGGUCACAACUUGCAUUCAAUCAAUUUCCAUGAAAAUCACGAGAAAUUUUUCUUUGUGCCGGGAACAUGGCCCGAUACACAAAGUGUAAUAAUACAAUUGGUUGGAAACCACGCCGUGUUACCGGCACCCAACCUCUGAGUAAACAAGGAAAAUUUCAAGGUAUCAACACCAAAACUAGUCCAAAACACACUAAAUUAGCUCAAUUCGAGACUUCGUAAAUUGAAAUCGGAAAAUCAUAAACUCUAUCUCUAGUUAGCAAUCAUUGAAAUCUCCAAGUCAAAUAAAGCAAAUCUGAAGAAUCAAACACCACUCACUGGUUAAUUAUCUAAAUCCUAUAAAUUUCGGUUAAAAUUAAGCAACUACAGAGCAAAAAUCUCAAGAAAUGAACGUGAAUUCACCUGUAUUUGAUCAUUUGUGGGAAAAUCAACACAUCACCGUCGGAAAACUCAGUUCCUUCGCGUCCUUCAAUUACUGUCAGCAAAGUCUAUCAAAAACCAAGAAACAAAGUGAGUAACGGAGUCAACUCAGCUCAACACCAGAACUCAGUAGCUCCAGGAAAUAAGAAACGGUAAGAAAAAGCGAUCAGCAACGCCGACGAAUUGAGCUGAAAAACGGACCUUAACGGCGAAGUCGUUCUUGCGAGCUUUGAGAGCGGAGGCGAAGAACUUAGGUAGCAGAGGAAGACGUGGCGGUCGUAGGCGUUGACGGUACCGGCAAGUUUUUCCUUGAACAUCUCCUAUCUCUUGAAACCGAAUUUCUCGUCUUCGGCGGCGGUGACGGCGGCAGAGAGGUCGUCGGAGGCCAUUGCCAGGGCUCGGAGAGGAGGAAUGAGGGGUUUAGCGGGGGUUGAAGUUGAAAACGAUGAGAGCGAAAAGAUGAGAGAGAAAGAACAUUGUUGUUUGGAGUUGGUGUGGGUGUAGGUGCGCAAUGCGCAUACGGCGCACGAUAGGGUUUCUGAGGCGAUCUGCAGCCAUAGGACUCGUUGUAGUUCUCUAGCCCUCCAAAAUUCUUCAAGAUAUUAAUAUUUUAAUAAACAAUACAGGAUCAUAUUUGUCUCCGUCUCCAACCGAGGGUCAGAGGGCUAGAGGGCUCGUUUUAGCCUUUUCACAAAAAAUCAUCUCCAACCGAGGGCCAAAGAGCAAUAGGGCCAAACAUAAUUUAUUAUUUAAAAACUACAACUUAAAUAGACAUAAAAAGGUUUUAUGUUUUUAAAUAUUUUUAAAAAUGUUGUUUAAGUUUCAUGUUGUAUAAUUUUUAUGUUGGUUAAUGUUAUUUAAUGUUGUUUCAUAUUGUUUAAUGUUGUUUCAUGUUACUUAAUUUAAUUUAAUGUUGUAUAAUGGCUUAGGAAGUUAUAGGAAAAAAAAUAGAAUUUAAAAAAAAUAUGAAACAAAUUUUGUGAAAUAGAAGUUAUAGGAAAAAUGGAAUUUAAAAAAAUAUGAAACAAAUUUUGUGAAAUAGAAGUUAUAGGAAAAAAAUGGAAUUUUAAAAAAAAAUAUGAAACAAAUUUUGUGAAAUAGAAGUUAUAAGAAAAAAAUGGAAUUUAAAAAAAAUAUGAAACAAAUUUUGUGAAAUAGAAGUUAUAAGAAAAAAAUGGAAUUUAAAAAAAAUAUGAAACAAAUUUUGUGAAAUAGAAGUUAUAGGAAAAAAAUAUGAAAUAUAUUUUGUGAAAUAGAAGUUAUAGGAAAAAAUAGAAGUUAUAUGAAUGUAAAAAAAUAAUAAUAAUAAAAUUGUAAAAAAAAAAAAUCAAAUGCAACGGCUACUAGCCGUUGCAUUUGAAUUUUUUCUUAAGAAAUCAUGUCGGUUAUAACCGACAGAAAUACAUGCUAUUAUUUAAUAUAAUGUAUUACUAUCGGUUAUACAUGCUAUUAUUUAGUAUAAAUGUAUUAAUGUCGGGCUGGCUAGCUGCAUGCAGCCCUCCAGCCCUCUCCGAUUUCAUGGGACCCUUCCAGAUUCCAGAGCUCUCUGGCCUAGCCCUCUGUUGGAGACGAUUUUCGGGCUAUUUUCGACUCUCUGACCCUCUGGAUCCUUCGGUUGGAGAUGGCCUGAAGGUCAGAGUGGGGACGUGUGGGGUUUGAUUUGUAGUUCAUGUAUUUACCCCUUUUGAUAUCUCUGAUCAUAUUGGACGGAAGCUAAAAGAUAAUUCAUGCACGCAAAAAUGGAAGGCCCUACAAACGGAGGAGGACAAUGUCUGCACGGAAAAUCAUCCUCUCUGAAUUUCUUUCUCCUAAUCUAACAAGUUCGGGAUCUGAAUCGUUAAAAUUUGAUCCAACAAUUAAGGUUAUUAUAACUUUUAAAGUGGACUUCUGUUUGUAGUCGUUGAAUCAAAUUUUAACGGUCUGGAUCCCCGAACUUGAUGGAUUAGAAAGAAGAGAUCCUUUCCUAUCUGCACCCAGGAAGUGGGUACAAGCGCGUGGGAUUUAAUUUUGUGAUUCAUUGCUGCCUGAGGAUUUUUUGGCGGUAGGUUGGAGGGAACCGACUGAGAGCAAAAUUGUAAAAUCCCCUAAACUCGGUGACGUGGCAACCUGUAAUUCUGAAAGGGUUCCGGAUCCUUUCGUUCUAAUAUAUCAAGUUCGGUGAUCAAGACCAUUGAAAUUUAAUCAAACAACUACAAAGAGGGACUCGCUUUAAAAGUUAUAAUGACUUUAACCGUUAGAUUAAAUUUCAAUGAUUAGAUUAAGAAAAAAAAAGAUCCGAAGAUAGAUCUAUUUUCAUGUAAUUCGGCCUUUACAUUCUGUCAAGAAACAGGCCGGUCACUUCGUUGAUUAAGUCAAGCCGUAAGCCUUGGUCCAACGUGGACAACUUCUAGAUGUCUUGUUUCUUUCAUUAAUUUAUUUCUUGAGAAUGACUUUUAAUAUUUGAUUUAAUUUUUUUGGUUAAUUAUUGAAUUUAAUUUGUCAAUGGCUCAAUUUUGGGGUGGGAUCAAAAAACCGAAAACCAAACUGAACCGAAACCGAAAAAAUCGAACCGAACGAAAAAACCGAACCGAAUUGAAAAAACCAAACCGAACCGAACUCUUUUGGUUCGGUUCGGUUUUGGUGGUCUAGAAAUCGAACCAAACCGAACAGAACCGAAAUAAUUAAAUUAAUAUUUUUUUAAUUUUAUUUCUUUAAUUAUUUGAUUUUAUUAUAUUAGAAUAUGAUACUUCAUACUGCUGCUUUGGUAGGAUUUGUUUGCUUUCCAAUUCAAAUUGUCUUCUCAGCUUCUCCAUCUACAACAAAAAUUAGAACUUAUACCAUUACAUGCAAUAUUUCUAGUUUAUAUCAUUAAGUGCAACACAUAUAUAAGAACACAUAUCUCAACUGCACUGCAGUUGAUUAGGAAAAGCAAACAGCGUAUAAAAGUCUCAUGAGUUUAUUAAACACUACGAGAUCAAAAACAAAAUUCAAACUUUCUCACCUAUGGCCAAGUAUAGUAGCUUCCGCGGCCUAACAAUUUUGAAAAGUAUAUCAAUAUAUUCAAAAAUAUUGAUGAACACCUCUUCAAAAUUUGCUGGUGGUAGAAGCUGAACACAGAAUGUAGAAAUUAUAUUAUGUCACCACAUUUAUGGAUAAAAAAAAUUUGGAUCAUAAAGAUAAAGAAAAUAUCAAAAAUUGUUACCUAGACAAUAAUCAAAAUAAAUAGUAUAUUAUAGAAUGUUUAUCUUAUUGCUAGUGAAGAAUACAUGUGUGUGUGUGUGUGUGUGUGUGUGUGUAUAUAUAUAUAUAUAUAUAUAUAUAUAUAGAGAGAGAGAGAGAGAGAGAGAGAGAGAGAGAGAGAUUGAGAGAAAGAGAGAAAUGAAUAAGGUCGUACUCCAUCAUCAUCGUCUAAAAAGAAAUCUAUUUACAGUUAAACUUUAAACCCAAAAUAUUAAAAAAAACCUUUAUGUUAUAAUUCUAUUUGAACUUUAAAUGUUUAUUUUCAUUAUCUUUUAAGUCUAGCCGGAAUGUUUAUGUUAUGAUUGUGUUGGAUAUGUUAAAAUUUAAGAUUUCAAAUUUUUUCAUUUUUUGAAAAAAAAUCGAAACCGAACCGGAAAAAACCAAACCGAUUUGAACCGAACCCACCCCUAGCUCAAUUUGCCAAUUUGUCAAUGAUACAAUUUAGGAUGGUGCUAUUCACUCAACUAUUUUUACUUCUCGAGUAUCUUCUUUAAUUUAUUUGAUUUAACAGCUAAACAUUGAGAGGGGUGUGUGAAACGUAAAAUAGUUUUUUAAUAGCACACCCCUACAAUUUAAAUACAAAGGAGUGUAGAUUUCAAACAACGAUUGAAUUUUAAGAUGACGCAUUUUGUUGAUUUUUCACAUUUAAGUUUGAAAUGAGCCGUUUUCGUAAUCUAUUAUAUUUAUUCUUGUGAUGCGUGUUUCAGUUGAAAAAACUAUCGUUUUCCAAAAAAAAAUAAUAAUAAAGAAAUGUAGGGUAAGGAUAGCAUUUAAAUAUUUAUGUUGAGAGUAAGGAAAAGAUAGAGAUGUGUAAAAUUCAUUUCCAUUCAUACAUUUUCGUGUUGUUUAUGUUGGUCUUUCAAUUAUUUAUGUUGAGAGUAAGGGAAUAAUUUGUACUAGGCAGUGUCAAAUUACAACCCUAAUUGAAAAACAUCUUGUUCGCCUGACCUAUGAAGGCCUACAGUGGAUACCUAGGCAUCCAGAGACGAGGAAGGGCAUAGUAAGCGAUGAAAUGCUUCAGAGAGUUGAAAAAUAAGCGUGGAUCCAAAUAUUCCGAAAUAUUUGACUGUUUCGAGCAAUAUGUAGGCCAAAAGACGGACGAUACAUAAACAGAUUAUUCGAAGUAGGGAUUCAUAAACAUCAAGUAUACAUUCUGUUGGAUAGUGGCCAAAUUAGUGGCCAAGUGGCCAAAAGCAUAUAAUAAAAAAUGAAGGAAUAAUGAUGUGGGAACAUCAUUAUGACGAGACAAAUGAUUAUGUUUGUUGAAAAGAAAAAUGAAGGUCAUGAUGAUGUUUGUAAAGGAAUGAUUAUUCAUUUACUUUGGAUUUUUUAUUGGGUGCUUUUGUAUGGAUGAAGGUUGCAGCCGAAUGAGGCCUUUUGGUUAUAUUAAGGCAUUCGAUUAUGCCUUUGGUUGUGUGGUGGAGCAGCAUCAGAUGAGAGCCAUACCAAGGAGAGCGUUCGGCUCUCCUAUUUGAAACAGUGUUGCUCAUUUCCAUUUGUUAGUAAUCCCUCAAUCAAAGAUGUUGCUGCUACAUGUUGUGUAGCUUUUGGGAGAGAUGGUAUUUGAUGUGUGUCCAUCUUCUCCAAUUGUUCUUUGUGAGAGUGAGAGUUAUUAGGUGUAUGUGGGAUUUGGGUUUGAGAGUUAAAACUCUAUUUGUAAUCUCCUUUUGAUAUUAGUGGAAUUUCCUCGCCAUCUCGGAACUGGACGUAGGCUUACUCCGAAUCAGUAUAAAUCCUUGUGUCAUUUGUCGAAAUUGUCUUAUCAUAUUUUGCUGUUGUAGCUUAUUGGUUUCAUAUUUGAUACUUCCGCACAACAAGUGGUAUCAGAGCUCCGGAUUUCGACUUGGGGGCUUUGUACAUGUAUGUCUAUGAAACCUUCGAAUAUGUUGGUGAAAUAUGAUUGAAAAAUUCGACGGGAGGAAUGACUUUGGCAUUUGGUCAAUUGGAGAUACAAGUUUUGCUUGCAUUGUUGCGAAAUGCGUGGCAUUGAAGAAGGAUGGUAAGGGAUCAUGCUGCAAUCCCUGAGCUCGCAGAUUGGAGAAUAGUUCCGAAAACAUCAUAUUUGCUGCAAUGUUGUUGAAGUGUUGGUGUUCGAAGGUUGCAGGUGUAGUGUACUGUUUUGGUAGAUUAUCCGUUGGUCAUCGCUGCAUCGACAGUGUUUGUGGGCUGUUGUCGACAAGUUGAGUGGGAAGGAGAAAAAGUAGAAGCUGUUGAGAAUUGAAAAGAAAAUGUUGGUUCCUUUUCUUUCGGCAUUUGUUUUGGCAGAAGGACAUCAUGAUGACAAAUGAUGUUGUUGGCUGAAAAAAAAAAAAGGUUAAGUUUUCUUCUCUUUGGCAUUUUUUCAACGGUAGAGAAUUUUUUCUUCACUCCCAUUGGUUGCCUUUGGAGCAAGUUGAUGGAAACAUUGGAGGAGUUUGUGAGGGCCAAUUUGUUGAGUUCUGCAAUUUUGGAUAGUGAGGCACCACACUAUUUUGGAUACACCACAUGCAUUGCAGAACAUUUGUGUGGAACCCUCUUGUAGAAGGCAAGUUAUAUGCUUUCUAACUUUGUUUGGUCUAUGGACAUUGGUUGGAUUUGUUUGCCACUGAUAUUUGGUUUGUUGGUCUCUAGCAUCUGGAAUAUGCUUUGUUGAAGACUCAUGUUGAGGUAUGGUUUUGGAUCUCCUACUGAUUAUUUGAAUUUGAAAUAUUUGGUUAUCCUAUUGGUGCUCAUGUGAUGAUGGUAAACUUGAGUGAAGGGCAUAAUAUUGAUAUUCAUAGGAUCUGAAUUUGGGUGAAAGGUUUUGUAUGUGGUAUGUUAAACAUUGUUGCCAAAUUUUGUAAUCAGUUUUGACUUGGAGAAUGUGCCCUGCUAUGUGAAUGAAUCUAUUGGUGCAGUUUAAGACCAUGGUGUUUGUAAGCAGGUGGAGUUCGUUAUGUGUCCAACUUUGGUAUGGUGUGCUUGAUCUUUUGUCGGUGAUAUUAAAGAAUUUCAGUUCUUCGUUUGAAUCACCUUUGUUUUGAUCAAGGCACUUAUGGUUUGCAAAUCUGGAGAAGACGGUAGAGAAAUGGUCUACUUUUGUUGGCUCUGGUACAAUUUGAAUUGAGGUGGAGAUCAUUAUAGUACCGAAAAGUUAGGGGAAUUUGAUUUAGUUCCCGUUGUCUUUAGUUUGUACUUUGGGUGCUUAUGGUGAUUGUUGAUUCGAUUCUCUGUGAUGUUUUCGAAAUUUGGCAAAGGUGGAGAUUGUUGGAUAGUUGCCAAAUUAGUGAAAAAGUUGUCAAAAGCAUAUAAUAAAAAAUGAAGGACAUAAUGAUGUCGGAACAUCAUUAUGAGGAGACAAAUGAUUAUGUUUGUUGAAAAGAAAAAGAAAGGUCAUGAUGAUGUUUGUAAAGGAAUGAUUUACUUUGGAUUUUUUAUUGGGUGCUUUUGUAUGGAUGAAGGUUGCAGCCGAAUGAGCGAGAGAAGGUAGAGCCUUUUGGUUAUAUUAAGGCAUUCGAUUAUGCCUUUGGUUGUGUGGGGAAGCGGCAUCAGAUGAGAGCCAUACCAGGGAGAGCGUUCGGCUCUCUCAUUUGAAACAGUGCUGCUCUUUCCCAUUUGUUAGUAAUCCCUCAAUCAAAGAUGUUGCUGCUACAUGUUGUGUAGCUUUUGGGAGAGAUGAUAUUUGAUGUGUGUCCAUCUUCUCCAAUUGUUCUUUUUGAGAGUGAGAGCUAUUGGGUGUACGUGGGAUUUGAGUUUGAGAGUUAAAACUCUAUUUGUAAUCUCCUUUUAAUAUUAGUGGAAUUUCCUUGCCAUCUCAAAACUGGACGUAAGCUUACGCCAAACCAGAUCCUUGUGUCAUUUGUCGAAUUUGUCUUAUCAUAUUUUGCCGUUGUAGCUUAUUGGUUUCAUAUUCGACGCUUCUGCACAACACAUUCCUCAAAAUUUUCAAUGCAAUUGGAUUUCCUCAAAUCUCAGGAACUACCAGAUUGUAAUGCUUGCAAUGGAAAGGAACCAUUGUGUACAUGUAGUAACCACACGAAUCAGUUGGAGACUUGUUUUUCAUCAGAGGAAAACAAAAGGCUAAGAAUCAAAAGAAAUCAAUCUCUAAAUAAUUACCCGAAGGCUUCAAAUCAACGCCCGGCAUCUUCCCGUUCAUGGGUUCUUUCGGUGUAUCAGGAGUCUCCAAUAUGUAGUGCUUUGGCACCUGGGGUGGAGUUGUACAGCGAAUCAGUGCCCAAUUCACGCUUUGGAAAAACGGAUGUUGUUUAACUUCUGUUGCUCCCCGCCUAUACGCAAGACGAUGCUGUGGCUCCUUGACAAGUAAACCUCUGAUCAAGUCCCUGGCUGCAAAGCUGACAGAAGGCAACUCUGGAAAUCUUAAAGGCUGGCCAACCACAUUAAACAAAGUAGCCCGGUUUCCUUGCCCCUUGAAUGGAGUUCUUCCGAACAAAAGCUCGUAGAGAAAGAUCCCAAAGGUCCACCAAUCUACAGCGCUGCCAUGGCCUUCACCUUUAAUGAUUUCAGGCACCAAGUACUCGUGUGUUCCCACAAAGGACAUUGAUCUAGCACUUGUCGGUUCUGCAACGAGUUCAGGGAGAGGGCUCACUUGAUUGUAUACAUCAUUAUCAUUGUUCUUCACCUUGAUCUUUUUAUCUUUCUUGGGUUUGCCCUUGAAAAUGCGUGGACCAAAACAUGUGGGCGUAAUGCAAUCCGGCUGCAUUACACAAGUUGGCUGGAUGCACGCAGGCUGAACACAAUAUGCUGAUUUCUUUGUCUCCAAACUUAAGUUUGAAGAUCUUACCAGGGUGGGGGAAACGGCACAUCUUAAAGAAAGGUCGAAAUCUGAAAGCAUUAUAUGUCCAUCUUCCCUCACCAAAACAUUCUCUGGUUUGAGGUCUCUGUAAAUGAUCCCGAGCAUAUGCAAAUAUUCCAAGGCAAGAAGAACUUCAACCACAUAAAACCUGCAAAAACAAACGGGAGAUAAACACACGAGAAUUAUUAUCUUCAGCAUGUCCCCAGCACUGGCAAAUAAACGUGUGCAAAACACUUGAUGUCCUUCUAGUUUAUAGGUUUACUCCUGCCUUUUCUCUGCAGGCUAUUGAAAUAUGAUUCCUAUUGUAACCUAAACUGAAAUGUGUAUGUGCACUAAUCAAAAAGUAAACUGAAAGGAGAAGUAUGAAGGAAUAUCUAACCUAGCAGCAUGCUCCGAAAAAUGCUUCCCAGGUUGUUUUUGUCUGAGUGCAUGCAGAUCACCCCAGGGACAAAACUCCAUCACCAAACAAGAUACCUUCUCCGUCUCAAAGUGUGUAUACAAUGUUGGCAGGAAAGGAUGAUCCAGAGAUUGCAGUAUUUCCCUCUCUGUCUGAGCCCUAAGAAGUUUUUUCCUACUUGCCAGUAAUGCUUUAUCCAUAACCUUCAUGGCGAAAUAAGUUUUAGUGCCAAUCAGUUCAGCCAAAUAAACGCUGCCUAUAUCUCCACAUCCCAGUGUCCUCAACAACUUGAAAUGCUCCUUACCCAGUGUUCCAUCAUGAUGAGAUCGCGCAGCUUGCACCGCUUCCCAACUAAUAUCAUUUGCCUUGUGGGGCUUGUACAUGGCAUUGCUCAAACUACUGGAGCUGCUCUCAUCGCUAACAUCGCUGCCAGUGCUGCCUCUAUAGAUGCUGGUCGUCCUGCUCUCAAUAAGAUCACAGGAAUUAGUAACUUCACUGCUUUCAACAGACUUCUCCACACUGUUGAUACAUUCACUGACUUCUGUAUUGGUGAAACUCUGCUUGGCUUCACAAUAUAGAGAGGCAGAAUAUAAACUGUUCUGAGGGCUUGCACAGUGAGAAAUGAGGUGGCUAUUUGUCUGCCCGGCUACUCCUUUAUAAGGAACCAAACCGUGAUUUCUAGAUUCCAUAUAUCUACUCGAAUCACAAUCAUUAACCGGAUGCUUGACGCUUGAUUUUGCUUCCAGCACGGAAACCUUGUUCAGAUAAGAAGUUUUGGCUGAUUUGUUAAGAACAUCAUUUGGGCCUCCAUGCUCAAGUGUUCCUGUUAAGUUUGAUAUUUCUAUAUAUUCAUACUGCUGCAAUGGCAGCAUUGCUUUAUACAUUGGAUACGUACACGCAUGCAUUAAACUAAAUAUAAAUGAAGGUGGAGUCCUCGCUGCCCAUAGUGCAGAAACUGCCCAUAAAGCACAAACACAGAUGCACAGCCCACGUGGGCAGUUUAGCUGUCAAGGCAUGUGUUGAAACCAUGUGCAAUAUUCUUCUGACAGGUUUGCUCUUUAACAUUCCCCCUCAAGUUGGAAUGGAUGUUGAUUAUUCCUAACUUGUGGAGCAAAGUCGUAAAUUGAUGUAAGCUCAGUGGCUUUGUGAAGAUGUCAGCUGGUUGCUUCAUGGUUGAAAUAUGAGACGUCCUGAUCAUACCACUUUGAAUCCUUUCUCGUACAAGGUGGCAGUCAAUUUCUAUGUGUUUGGUUCUUUCGUGAAAGACCGGAUUCGAAGCGAUGUGAAGUGCUGCUUGAUUAUCGCAAUACAACUUGACUGGAUGUUUAUGUUUGAUGCCCAAGUCUUGUAAAACAUAUUUCAGCCAAGUGACUUCACAACAAGAUGCUGCCAUUGAGCGAUACUCCGCCUCCGCACUAGAACGUGACACAGUGUUUUGUUUCUUGCUUUUCCAGGAGAUUAAGGAUUCUCCAAGGAAUACACAAUAUCCGGUGGUAGAACGUCGUGUGUCACGACAUCUGGCCCAAUCUGCAUCACAAAAGGCAUUCAGUUGGAUUGGACUUCUUGCAGAGAGAGAAAAAUACCUUGCCCUGGUGUAUGCUUAAUGUAUCGUAAGACUCGGUGGGCUGCCUCCAAGUGUGGAGUUCGAGGCUUCUCCAUAAAUUGACUAAGAAUGUGGACAGCAUAGACCAAAUCAGGGCGCGUGAUUGUCAGGUAGAUUAGUCUCCCAAUAAGCCGUCGAUAAGAAGAAGGAUCAGUGAUGCAUUGUCCUUCGUCCUUUCUGAGUGAUAAGUUUUUGCUCCAUAGGAGAGGUGGCUACUUUUGCACCAAGGUAACCUGCAUCCUCAAGUAUUUCAAGGGCAUAUUUUCGCUGUGAGAGAGCGAUCCCCUUACUAGAGCGAGCAAUUUCGAUGCCCAAAAAAAUAUUUUAGUUGGCCAAGGUCUUUCAACUUGAAUUGCUUCGUAAGGAAAGACUUGAUAUCCUCAAUUGCUUGUAUGUUAUUUCCUGCCAGGAUAAUAUCGUCAACAUAUACAAGGAGAGCAGUGAAUUUACCAUCAUGGUUUCGGACGAACAAUGAAUAGUCUGCCUUGGAUUGUUGAUGAUAACCAGCUUUGCUAAGAGCACAAGAGAGUUUGAUAAACCAUUGACGAGAGGCUUGCUUAAGCCCAUACAAAGAUUUAUGAAGUUUACAAACUCGUGUUUCCCCCUUUCGUCCGAAACCAGGGGGCAAGGACAUGUAGACAUCUUCUUCAAGGUCACCAUGAAGGAAGGCAUUGUGAACAUCAAGUUGGUGAAGGUGCCAUUGUUGGACUGAGGCAACGGCAAGAAGUAGGCGGACUGUAGUCAGUUUUGCAACCGGAGCAAAAGUCUCACGAUAGUCUAAGCCUUCAAUUUGGCUAUAACCUUUGGCAACCAAGCGUGCUUUAUACCGCUCAACUGAUCCAUCGGAACGAAAUUUGAUUUUGUAGACCCACUUACAUCCAACCGGCUGCUUUCCAGGGGGGCAAUGGUUGAAGAGACCAUGUCCUAUUUGCAGCAAGGGCUGCCAGUUCUUCUUCCAUGGCUAAACGCCAUUGGGGGUCGCGUACGGCCUGUGAGAAUGAACUGGGUUCUAUGGCAGCUGAAAUGGAAGUGGUGAAAGCACGAUGGCGAGCAGAUAAGCGAUCAUAUGUGAGUACAUCAGACAAAGGAUAAGAAGUACCUACCACUGUGGUCAAUGCUGAGUGAGAUGAAGGGACGGACCGAGAAGGAAGGUUAAUGCCAACGUGAUAUUGUUGAAGAUAACCAGGUGCAUGAGUGAGGCGUUUAAGACGAGGUGGUGAAGGGGAUUGGUCGACUGAAGAGGAUGGAUCGACUGAAGUGGAUUGGUCUACUGAAUCUUGUUCUAGUGGAAGGGACGGAUGAAUGAUGGUGUCAUCACAGUCAAUAUCUUGAGUAUAUGGAAACACAACAGGUGAGACGGCAACGGAAGAAGAAAAAGGGAACACAUUUUCAUGAAAAAUAACAUCACGGGAAAUAAAAAUUUUACCCGUUUGAAGGUCGUAAACUCGAUAUCCUUUGGUGCCGUAUGGAUAGCCAAGAAAAAUACAACGUGUGGCUCUUGCAUCAAAUUUGGUUGGUCUAUGGUGGUGUGUGGAAGAGAAACAUAAACAACCAAACACUCGCAAAUGUGCAUAUGUUGGCUGUUUGUGAUGAAGGAUUUCAUAGGGUGAUUUUCCGUGAAGAAGAGGAGUGGGAGUCCUAUUAAUGAGAUAAGUGGCAGUUAGGAUUGCAUUACCCCAAAAUUUCUUGGGAAGAUGAGAUUGAAAAAGCAAGGCUCUAGCAACGUUAAGUAAGUGGCGGUGUUUACGCUCUGCUACCCCGUUUUGUUGGGGAGUAGAGACACAACUUGUUUGAUGUAGAAUGCCUUUAGAUGAAAAAAAAUGGGUCAUAAAAAAUUCUAGACCAUUAUCACUACGAAGAACCUUAACUCGUGUGGAAAAUUGUGUUUCAACAAGGUGGAUGAAUGUGAUGAGAUAUGAUCGUGCAUCUGAUUUGUGAUUCAUUAAAUAAACCCAUGUGCAUCGUGUGAAAUCAUCUACAAUGGUCAAGAAAUAUUGUGCCCCUGUGAUAGUGGGAACAUGGUAACCUCCCCAAAUGUCAACAUGAAUUAAUUCAAAAGGAGCUUUUGUUUUAAUAGAACUCAAAGGAAAAGGAGCACGUGUUUGUUUGGCUAAGGGGCAGAUCAAACAAUCAUCAAUGCUACAAAAAUUCAAAUUUUUAAUGCAAGGGGAGAUAGCCCGUAAGGUUUUGUUGGAAAGAUGGCCAAGGCGUUGAUGCCAAAGCUGAGAAGCAGAGAAAGAGUAACAACUGACACUGAAUUGCACCUGGUUUUCGUCACAUUAUCAAGGUAGUAGAGGCCUCCUUGUUCAGUUCUCGUCCCAAUCAUCUUCCCCGAUCGUUGGCCCUGAAGUAGACACUUUUUAUCAGUGAAGAUGACAAAGCAAGAUGAGGUAUUAGUGAUUUUGCUGACAGAAAUUAAAUUCAGUUUAAAUGAUGGAACACAAAGCACGUUGUAAAGGACGAGAUCGUUCGAGAGACGAACUGUGCCAAUAUGUGUGAUAUCGGCAAGUGCAUGAUUGGGUAGGUGCACUUGUCGAUUGUAUACCGGAACGCUUGUGGUCAUCAAACUUGGUGAGCAAACCAUGUGGUCUGUGGCGCCAGUAUCGAAAAUCCAGUUCCUUCCCUUAUUGAGAGGAGAAGCACAAAGAACUCUACCUGAUAAAUCAUUCAUAGUAGAGGUGGUACCGACAUGGUUAGAUGUGGAUUUAGACUGGCUCUUAUCAAGUAGUGCAAGCAGGUUGUGGUAUUGCUCGGGAGUGAGGCUGUAGGAUGAAGGAGAUGUUGCUGGAGGCGUUGGUUUGAUGUCAACGUGAUUAGCCUUGGAGUUGAACCCCUGCGAGUUGGAACCCCUGCGAUCUUGAUAAUCUCCCUUAUCGCUGUUGUCCUUUGCCUUUUUCAAUUUGCGGCAUUGGUCUAUGGUGUGACCUCUCCAAUUACAGUAGUCGCACUUGAGGUGUGCACACGACAGGUUUCUGAAGUAUGUCCGGUUGCAUCACAACGGCCACAUUUUAAAUGGGAAUUUCUAGGAGAAAAAUUCCUACCAGAGUUUCGCAUGUUGUCCCGCACGGCGAAAGCUGCGGCAUCAGUGAUUGAAGACCUUCCAGGAGCAUGUAUUGAGACUGCUCUCUGUUUCUCAUCUUGAAUAAUGAGUGAGAAAGCUUUGUUGACAGCAGGGAGAGGAUCCAUAAGUAAGAGUUGCCCACGAACUGCAGCGUAGGAUUCAUUGAGACCCAUGAGAAACUUCAUGGUUUUCUGACUUUGCUGAAACUGCAUCAAUUCUUUCGCAGCUCCACAAUGCACAGGUUGGGAGAGCGCACAAGGCAUCACGUUCAUCCCAAAAACUUUUCAGUUUGGUAUAAUAUGCACCAAUGUUCAAAUUUCCUUGAACACUUCCAUGUAUCUCUUGUUCGAUAUGGAAGAGAUGGACACUGUUUGUGUGAGAGAGAAGCGUUCCUUCAACUCAUUCCAAAUAUCAGCUGCAACAUUGUUGUAGAUGACACUUGCACCAAUAUCUUUUGAGACAGAGUUGAGCAGCCAAGAUUUCACGAGGUUGUUGCAACGAGUCCACUGUUGGUAUUCAAUUGUGGACGUCAACUUAGGCCUUUGAAUGGUUCCAUUGAUGAAUCCUUCCUUGUUCUUGGCAUUGAGGGCCAUGGUCAUGGCUCGGCUCCAAGUGGAGUAAUUUUCGUCAUUCAAUGGUUGGUUGUGUGACGAGAAUCGCUCCAGGCUGAUCGGAGUGAUGAAGAUAAAGAGGAUCGCUGGGAUCUUCGUAUUUGGUGUGUUUGCUGGAAGAGUCAGUUGCCAUGUUCACAGACAGUGUGCAGUGGCUGUGCUUUGCGGCUGUGCUUAAUGGCUGUGACAGGUAGAGCAGCGACGAUGGCUGUGUAGCGGUUUUGCGACGGCAAGGCAGCGAGUGUGCAGCUUGCAGUGCACUGGUUGCUGCAGUAGCAGAUGUCGCUGUUCACAGUAUAGCAGCGAAAGAGUGAAGGCAGAGCAGAGCAAAGGAUUACCUGCGCUCUGAUACCAUGUUAAGUUUGAUAUUUCUAUAUAUUCAUACUGCUGCAAUGGCAGCAUUGCUUUAUACAUUGGAUACGUACACGCAUGCAUUAAACUAAAUAUAAAUGAAGGUGGAGUCCUCGCUGCCCAUAGUGCAGAAACUGCCCAUAAAGCACAAACACAGAUGCACAGCCCACGUGGGCAGUUUAGCUGUCAAGGCAUGUGUUGAAACCAUGUGCAAUAUUCUUCUGACAGGUUUGCUCUUUAACAGUUCCUUUAUUCGAAUUGUGGUAGUGUUUCCCCAUAUGAAGAAACUCUUCCUGCUGCAUGUUAUGAUUAGUUGCCUUGUUGGGGUUCUUUUGAUUAUUUACAGAACCAUUUGAGUAGCUGUCUGUCUUCACCGAAUAAGUAUGCGCAGUCACGCAGGAUGGCGACGAAACCCCUUCGCUUCUUGAUUGUUUUGGAGAUGAGGGCUGAGAAGGACGAGGAGUCCCAGUUGUGGAAGGAGGGUUCUUGCCUACCUCAGGCGGUGCAGAAUAGCGAAAUUUCGGCAAAGAAUUAACCCCAUCAACCAGUGACCCCAUGGCUUUCACACAGGCACUGUCACUGCAAAAUUCAACUGAGCACUAUGAUAAUAUGAUAUGUAACAAUCUUACCACUAAAGGCAUUAAGUACAGAAUCAUCAACUUGAAUUGUCUUCCAAAAUUCAAAUUAACAAGGCAGAGCCGUCAAUUCGAAACACAGAAUCAACAAAAAAUCUGCAACAAUAUACAGUCAAAGAAAAUCCCAGAUGAACCGAAAUUCAAGAUACAAGCUUUAAUUCACAAUCUAAUUAAUGGCAGCGCGAAAGGGGAAAAAUAUAUCAAAAAAGGAUCAUUUGACAAAAUUUUCAACAAAAAUUUAUCUUUUUAUAAAACCCAGAAACCCAAAUUCUCCAGUGAUUGAACCCAAGUUCUAAUUUUGAUUCUUUUCAAAACCAAACACGACUUUCAUUUUCUUUUCGUUUCCCACAGUUUCUCGGCAACCAAACAACAGAACAACGCAAAAGAACCUCAAAGCAAAGAACCCAAUUAGCCAAAGAGAGCUUAGAAAAAUUACCUGAUCAGAGAAGAGAGAAAGCAGACGACAGCAAGCAACCUCGCAUGGCUGGUGGGCACAAUGAGAGAGAGAGAGAGAGAGGAGAGAGAGAGAGAGAGACCCAAAGAGCGAGAGCUCACAGAGAAAGUGAAACAACUUAGAGGGGGUCUCUGUUUCUGUUUUUCAUCUUUUGGAUUUCACUGAAGAGCUUCAGAUCCGAUCGAACAAGAAAUCCAGAGGAGGAUCAAGCAACAAGACAACAAACAAAGAAAAAAAUAUGAAUAAAUUUAUGAACUUUUAACUUCUGGGGAGAACAGAAAGUUGGAGUUUCUCUGGUUUUUCUCGUCGCGGUGUGGACUUGAGAGAAAAACGAAGCCAAAAUUCGCAAGCAAAGCGUAAAGCUUAAAAAGCCGUCUUUGUCUUUGGAUGUUUUUUUUUCCAAUGUAUUUUGUUCUCUGAGAAGAAAAUAUGGUGGAAAGAACGUCUCUUCGCUUUGUUCUUGUUGUGAAAAAAAAAAACUUUUUAACAUUUUAGUUGUAUCAUGGCUCAUGGCGCACGAGAGAUAUUUCAUUAUGUCGAAAACACGGUCUGAUGCGAUUAUAGUGUAUCAAACCGUGUUAUCUUAAAGUAUGUAGGAAACAUGAUUUGAUGCGCUAAGUGUCUUAAUAUAAUUUGUUGAAAAAAAUUCAUAUGAUAUAUAAUGUAUCAAAUCGUGUGCCCCUAAAAAUGUAUUACGAUAGUUGUUUUCAAUUUGUUCAUUGAGGUAUUUUGGCAAUUACAAUAAAAACAACCAGCGCAAGAAAUCUUUAGGGACCCGUAGCGUCAGUAAUUGAAAAAAAAAAUGCCUCUCUCUUGAGAAAUUUUGAAUGUACCCCUAACCAAUAGCCCGCUUUAAGAAUUCAAUCUUUAAAUGAAUGAAUUGGUAUUGUGAAUGUUAAGAAUUAUUAGCUGGUGAUCAGACUAGUGAUACAUUUUUUUUUUCUCAAUGUUUGAAUUCCCAGUACAAUAUAUUUUGUAGCACUCAAUCGAACCUACAUGGCAAGGAUGUAGAUUUUUCAAAUGUAUAUUUUUAAGAUAUGAGGAAUUUAAAUGAAGAAACCAAACCCAAAUCUUGUAGCACACCCUUAUUCUACAACUACAUACUCAAAUGCAAUGUCAUACGUAAUUGUACAAAUAUCAAACUCACUUUUUUUUAUUAAUUUUCAAUAGUUAUCAUACUUCGUCUUUCAAGUGUAACUUAUUUUUCGAGCUCCCAAUAACAACUCCAUUUACAUUUUAUAUGAGCAAUGUAAUUAUCGAUAUCACAUGACUCCUACAUUAUUUUCAAGGCAAUUAUGUCCAAUGACGAAUGUACAUUGAGACCAAAGUGGUUUUAGGAUCACCAAAAGUUCAGAAAAUACACAUGUGAAUGUCUUUCGAGAAAUGAUUGGUAUUGAUCCUUCUUGUGCCCAUUUGAUGUAAUGCAUGCCAGCAUAUCUUGAGAUGAUGCGUCGAUAUCACUCAUCAGACUGUUUCAGUGUAUGUCAUUAUCUAUUGACAUGUUUCUAUCUAAAAAAUUAACAUUAAAACCCUCAAUGAUCCUAAUCUUGAAUUCGCAUCUGAUUAUGUUAUCUGUUUUAUCCCAUAAGUAAGAGCAGAGGUCCUCAACAUUGUCAAAUUUUCAAGCAUUCUUUCCCCUCAAAUAUUAUUUUAUUUUCUCCCUAAAUUCCAAUAAUACAAUGCUAAUAAUAAUUUUUUAAUGGAAUCUAAUCCAAAGAGUGGAAAAUAUCCAACAUCUAGAAUGUAACUAGACAAUGUUUUGAUUGACCACAACACCAAAAUUCAGGGAGCAGAUAUAGGACUUAAUUUUCAUUUUUUUAAACAUUAUUUAGGUCCAAGAUAAUUAAAUUAAAUUAUAAUUAGUCGUAAUCACAUGGGGAUUAAGCAACCGCACAAAUCUCGUUAAUUCCUUUCGCGGGAACCAGGAGGGAGGCCUCACAUGCGCGCACGUGAACACCAGGACAAAGCACGUGGGCGGCUGUCAUGCCCGUCGCAUGAAUCUACGGUAGGCCCGCGGUGAAACUAAAAGAUAUGUUUAAUCUGGAAGGACAGGGCGCCCGUAUCAAAUGUUACGGAGCUUUGGGUAUGUGGGUCUACAAUCACAUAAAUUUUUCAACGUUGUCGAAAACACAGUCUGUUAUAUAAGGUAUCAUUGUAAAAGCAGUUAAUUUUUUUUUUUUUUCAAACUAUUUAUGUUAUUGGUGUACUAGUCUGUUUUCCGACAGACUGAAAAAUAUCUCCACAAUCACACUGGUGGUAUUUUGUAUUGUGGAUUGUAAGUGCAAAAAGAGUCUAAUAGCAACUUAUAUAAAAUGAAUAUCUCAAUUGUAAAAAUCAAUUCUACUACUCAAUGUUUCGUGAAAACCAAACUUACAUUUAACAUUGUGUAUUAGUUUAUCGGAACGCCCUAAUUGCGAUAAACACAAAUUUUAUAUGUCAUUUUUGUGAGUUAAAGCUCAAUCCUUUGUGUUAGCAUAGAUAAUAUCGAUGUUAAAAAAUAAGAAAGUCAUUCUCGUGAUGGUGACCAGAUACACGUAACAUGCUUUCCUAACAAUGUGGGUCCCAGCAAAGACCCAUUUCCUUAAAUUUUAAUUCCCAUCAGACAUCGGACGGUUCUAUAUUGCUUCUGGACAUUGAUGGAUGCUCUGCACCGUAAACUCUAUGCGGUGCAAAACACUUGGUUCUUGACACGUGUAAUUAUUAGAAGGGAAUUUAGACAGUAUCAUGACUAGUGGGGACCACCAUUACCAAUCACAUAACAUGGACAUACCUUGGGCAAAUCAUUUUCCAUUUUCUCCAUUAGACAGUGAGCAAUCUUUCAAUGUACCUGAAACAAAGUGACAUAAUAGUAAGUAACACGGAGGAUGUCAGGACCAGUUCCAGACUCAAAAACCUUAAGGCCCAGUUUGGUGGGAAAUGGAAUAGGUUGUGAUCAAUUAAAAUAAAUUUUGAGUUCAACAUGUUAUUUAUUAUGUUAAAUGUGAGAUAGACAAGACUGAACUGGGUUAUAAGUUCAGAAUAGAGUAGAUUAUCUAACUUAUCCUUAUAAAUAGGUUACAAGUCUUGUCUUAUAAGCCCCUACGAAUCUAAUCAUACCUCUGUUGUCUAAUCUCAUCCAUCACCCCAAACGGGCCCCUUCGUGACAUCACAACAUAUUGACUCAUGUGCAAAAUUCAUUGACCACACAUGUUCCAUAUACGAACAAGUAACUUUUUUCAGCUAGGCACUAACACUGUCAUUAUUCAACCAAGCACUUACACUGUCAUGUGGUUUUACGAAUCCAUUCAUAUUAUAACAUAUGUAACCAUAAAAAAUUUCAACAUGACCGUUGCUUUAUACUGUAGUUCUGUACUACACAUGAAUUAGUAACAUCACCAUGUAGAUGUCCUACCAAAAAAAACGAAAAAUCUCCAUACAACUACAAACGAGAAGCAUUAAACUAGACAUUCAUUUCCUUCUCUGAGCAUGGGCAAACUAGCAAGGAAUGUGAUGAGGAAACUAACAUUAGACAAGAUGUCAAGAUUGUUCUAACCAAUUUUCCAGGUACAAAUUUAAGACGUAUCUCGCCGUUGACAAAACGUCAAGCCUCUUCUCGCUCGGUUCAUACUUCCCUUUCCGGAGCCGGUACCGACGAGUUACGGCCGAGAUUGUGUAAGUUUGGCCUUCUAUUGUCACACCGUCCCCACAAUGUAGGUUCUGCAGCAUGGAAGGUGCAAUAAGAACACACACAAGGAAAAUCAAAAGAGAAGAAAAUAGCAAGUUUAGUAGCAAAUUCGACGUAUCAUACAUCCGUAGGGCCUGCUGCUCCUCCAUGAAUGAACAAAUAGAGUAAUAUAGACGAUAGAGUAAUACUGAACGCAUGACAGACAGAAACAAUCAGUUCGGAUGCACGUAUAGUUUGAGGGAAGGUUUCGGUGCAGUUUCCUGGUUUUCUGAAGUCGUGUAUAGGGUUGUCCUCUCCCCGCAUAAAUGUGAUGGAGACUGAACUGUGAGAGACGUUCAAAUCUCAUAGAUGGUGAUCAUUUGCCUAGCCAAAUAAAAAGGAUCAACUUCGAUCCCGUACAUGAAUCAUCUUCCAUGCCUGUACAUCUGAGAAUAAUAUAAAACGGCGUUUAGACACUUAAGAAACGAAAAUGGCACAACGCAAAGACUUUGAUCACCUUGUGAUUUCAUUCACCAUCGCUCGGUCAUUGUGUUCUUUAGGUGUGUGCAGUGAACACUGAAACUUGUUUCUUCUAAACCAUCGAAAAACUUGUGCUCUUAACUUCACGCUUAAUUAAGUUAGCCGCGAAUGUGAAUUACAUUGCUUAUCUUCAUUUCGACACAGUUUUGUCCAAGUAAUCUGUUGGAGCAUGUUUGGUAUUCUACUUGAAUCCAACUUUUUAAACUAAAAAAUAAUUUUCAAGUUUUAGACCUUAAAAACUUGUUUGAUAUGACUAUUUUCAAAAACUGAACUCAAGACUAACUAAAAAAUAUAGUCUAUUAUCUAAAAACACAAAAUGUGAGUUUUUAGAAUUUUUAAAUUUAAAUUCACUCCUUUCUUUUCUCUCGCUCCUCCCCUCUCACUCCAAAGCUAUCUCUCUCUUUUCUUCUUUCUCUCUCCCCCUUCUCUUUUUUUUUUUUUUACCAUUUUCGUCUCUCAUCCAAUCCGCUCUCUUCAUUCUCUCGAUUCUUUAUCUCACUCACUUUUCUCUCUAUCUCCUCCGAUCCUCUCACUUCUUUCUUUUUCCUCCAAUAAUCUCUUACUUUCUUUCCUCUUCUCUCAUCUUUCUCUCUUGACCCACUCUUUUUGGAUCUCUUUGUCCAGUUUAAGUUGUAAGAUUUAAAAAUUUUAAAUUGCAUUUCAAACAAGUUUUUUAGUCUUAAAGAAAAUUGUUUUCAAGAAAAAUUCUUAAGAAAUGUUUUGAGAAAUUAUAAAAAAUUUCAAAUAGGAUACCAAACAAGCCAUUAGUUUCUUACAGUUUCUGAAAGAUCCAAGUCGACUGAGUACACGGUCUAUGCUACGUUUUUACCCAAGCGAAACACUACUUCAGAAAUGUUUUCACACCAGAAGAAGCUGCCUGAUGCAUACAUGACAAGCUAUCGAUACACAUUUAAGCAAGGACGUCUCACAUCCUCGGUAUGGUUUGCAUUUCUCAACGGCGUAGUGAUGCUUACUAGACAAAAGAUAAAAGAAAAGGAAAAGUGGGACGCAUUGGGGUUCAAUCUCCUCCAAAAACUAUGAAGGGCUUCCUCUUUGUGACACUUCCCAAAGUCAUCGCCAACACCAAUAUAUCAGAACAAGUGCAUAUGGCCCCCUAGAGCAAAAUGGAGUUCAGUGACCAACUCUUUCAAGUUUCAAUACAUCGAUCACGCAGCUUCUACCAAAUUCACACUCAAAAAACUUCCUUAUACGGUCAAUUUGUACAUCUGUGACAUCCAAAUCGACGUCAUUCGUGCUCAAUCAUUGCAGUAAUCGAGCUUAAACAGCUCAUAAUACAGUUAUAUAAGAAGCAAGAGCAAAUGCAGCAGCAGCAGCACCUGCAUAAUCCCCACUCAACAGACAUUCACGGAUUCAGAAUUGAUCCCCAAAAUUAUUGGUGGGAUUCGAAGCUCUUUUGCCACAAGUCCCCAAUCUGUCUAGCAAAGGGAAACAUUUGUGCCUCUCAUUUUAAUAACUUCUUUUUAUAGGGAGCUGAUCCGUUACUUUUUUACACAACUUUUGACAUACAUUUUUUUGCGGCGCAUUCUAUAAGUAUAUUUUAACGAUCCGAACCAUCACUCAUAUAUUAUACUUGCAAAAAUUUAGACUAACCCGAACCCAUUAAGACAUUUGUUUGUACCAAAAGAAACCUAAGCCCUUAUUUCAAGGGUCAUAUGGCUUCAUUUGGAAGACAGUGAAAUGCUUUCUGAACAAAAACUAGCAAAUCAUGGAAAAAAUUGUAAGAACAUCUCCAAUGGGUUGUGUUGAUGCACAAAAUCAGCGAAGACUUUGGUACAACAGAAAGUGUCAGGUUUUAUGACCUUCGCUUGGUUGCUUCGGUCACUAGUGAGGAUAAGUACGUAAAUGAAUAGAGACAGAGAAGCAAACACAGGAUGUACGUGGUUCACCCAGAUUGGCUACGUCCACGGAGUAGAGGAGUUCUUAUUAGUAGUGAAGGGCUUACACAAGUACAAAGGAUCAAGCUCUCAAUUUAGUGAGUUCUUGUGAAUGAUUUAACACAAAUGGCAUUAGGCAAUAUUGUGGGGGAAUGACCCCUAUUUAUAGAAAAACUUGUAGCUUUGUCACAUUGACAUGUGUCAUGUUAUGAUUGGUUCUUGAUGUCGACACGUGCUGCGCUCUGAUUGGCUUCUAAUCUUGACACGUGUCGAGUAGUGAUUGGCCUCCUGGUCGGAGGGGAACUCUUCUGGGUCCUUGACAGUAUAGCGUUGGCCGGUGCUCGGUAGUUUCGGGAUUGGUCAAGUAUGGUACAAACAGUGCUCCCCUAAGUUCCCGAGUGAGGGAAACUCCUCGGUUGGGGACUUGCAAGAUCCAAUCCCUUGAGUAAUCACGAAACUUCUAAGUACCGAAGUGUGGUCUGAUCUUCAUCUGCCCUUCUCUGGAAGUACCUUUCCUCCAUCCGGGAAUGGUGUAUUUAGCUGAUGUUGACGCACAAGGUAAUGUAUCAAUUUCAUUUGAAGCUUAGUUGUAGUUUCGGGCUUAGUCAAGUGUGAUACAAACCCUAUAGUAGGAGUCCCCCAAGUCGCGCCGAGCUAGGAGAUCUGCCGAAAGAGGUGACAGACAAGGUAAGCAGUCAAACUUCCAAGUAAGCAACCCAGGAUCAGAGGUUUGACUUCGGCUUCCGGUUGAUUGUUCUCCUUCUCCUUGUCUCUCAUUCAACUGCCAGGAUAAGGAGAAGCAAAUGGAUAAGAGAUGAUAUGAGAUACUUUUGCUUUUGAAGAAGUAACUUUCCACAGGCUUAUUCUUGAACUGUGCUGGAGGGUUUUCUGGUGCCCUUCAGAGUAUAAGGCCGACUCAAAAAUUUGAGGGUCAAAACAAGUCCAUCAAAUCUAGAGUACGUUCGACCUUGAUGAUAUGGGAUACUUUUGCUGUUGACGGAAUAAUGAAUGUGGUAUGGAAAGGUGUCGUGCUGUAGUGAUCUGUUUCAGCUCACCGUUGAACCUUCUGCUUCAAUCUUUUGCAUGGCAGAAGUGGUGUGCAACCUUUGCAUUUAAAUGGUCCUUCAGAACAUUCCUUCAUAGUGACUCAUCCACGCUUGGCAGCUUCAGUGUAAAGAGCCAAUAUCUGAUCAACUGUCAUGAGGUAUUUGCCGGUGGAAUUCGUGACCUUGACAACAGUUGAGGAUGAGUACUCGAGAGCAAUGCUAAGUAAGCAACCAGGGAAAGGCUCCAGGCAGUCAGUUCCAAAUUGGAGGUUUGAUUUCAGGUUCCGACUGACUGCUCUCUUUCUCCUUGUCCUGCAGGUGUGGACAAGGACAAAGACAAAGACAGGGAGAAAGCAUGAUAUGGGAUACUCUUGCUUUCGACCCUGAUGAUAUGAGAUACUCUUGUUCUUGGUGUGGCUUAUUUGCUGAGGUAUUAUCGGGGGGAAAUAAAGCUGAGUAUAUUUCGAGAGGUUAUGUUGAGGGUGCCUUUUUCGAAUGCGAGAAAGGGUUGAGCAUUUUUGCAGGUUUGCCUGUCCGUUGAGGAGGGAGGUCAAUGUAUAUAGGGAUUUCCCAAUAACAAGUAGUAAUGUUAUUCCUUUACCCUUCUUGGUCACAGCAAUGUAGUGGGAGCUGCCAGCUUCACGUGUUUUUAAUUUUGUCAGAGCACUUUGAAAAAGUGGUAUGUGGUAUCUGGAAAGCUGAUAUUACGUGUGAAGAUUACAGACAAGCUUUAUCUAAGGAAAUCUGGCUCUCGAAGUUCUGAGAGUUGUGCCUCUUCGGUUUUCGAACAAGCAAUCCCGUCGAGGAUCUGACUCUCGAGAUUCGGAAAGCGGUGCUACUCCGGUUUUUGAGAAAGUAAUUAUGUUGGGAGUCUUUUCUCGAAUGUGAGUAAAGGUUGGACGUUCUUGCCAACCUGUCUUGCCGCAAAACACGGAGGUCGACACACAUAGGGACUUUCCAGUUGUCAAGCAGUGGUGCUGUUCCUUUACCCUUAUGGGUAAUAGUAGGGUAGCUGGAACUUCGAAAUUCUCGUGCCUAAACUUUGUCAGAGAUCUUUGACAAAGUUAUAUGUGGUACCCGAGGAGUUGAUGGUGCAUAUGGAGAGCGGUGAUUGAACAGUAAGAUUCACGUGCUUUCUACUUCACCAGAAAUCUUCGACAGAUUGCCCGUAAUUUCCGCAAAGCUGAUUGUGCAUGUGACAGGUGCUGACGAGGCUGAAAAAGCAAGUGCUUCUUCGAUUUCUGAGAUCGGCCCUCGUGGUCUCUGAGCAGCCCAGCUUUUGAGAAAGCAAACGCCUCUUCGAUUUCUGAGAUCGGCCCUCGUGGUCUCUGAGCAGCCCAGCUUUUGAGAAAGCAAACGCCUCUUCGAUUUCUGAAGCUCCGUCGAGUGCAGAUUUUUAUAGAGGCUGGCAUUAAGUUCCACAGCACACUUGAAUCUCUACCAGUAGAAGCUCAUUUCUUGCACUUCUAAGAUCUUGAUUUGUCUGACCUCUUCCUUCUUCAACACAUUUGAAAAUGUCUGGACCCUCCGACCGUCGUUUUGACUUGAACCUUGGAGAAGAGACAGCCACGCCUUCUCCAGACAACAUAUGGCGCCCAUCCUUCAUAUCCCCUACUGGUCCUCUUACCGUUGGGGAUUCUGUGAUGAAGAAUGAUAUGACCGCUGCAGUGGUGGCCAGGAACCUUCUCACUCCCAAAGAUAACAGACUACUUUCCAAACGGUCUGAUGAGUUGGCUGUUAAGGACUCUCUGGCUCUUAGUGUUCAGUGUGCAGGUUCUGUGUCUAAUAUGGCCCAACGCCUAUUUGCUAGAACCCGCCAAGUUGAAUCAUUGGCUGCUGAAGUGAUGAGUCUCAAACAGGAGAUUAGAGGGCUCAAGCAUGAGAAUAAGCAGUUGCACCGGCUCGCCCAUGACUAUGCUACAAACAUGAAGAGGAAGCUUGACCAGAUGAAGGAAUCUGAUGGUAAGGUUUUACUUGAUCAUCAGCGGUUUGUGGGUUUGUUCCAAAGGCAUUUAUUGCCUUCGUCCUCUGGGGCUGUACCUGGUAAUGAAGCUUCAAAUGAUGAACCUCCAAUGCCUCCUCCUUCUGGGGUUUUGUCAAGUACUGAGGCUCCGGAUAACCACCCUCCGGUGCUUUCUCUUUCUGGGGCUCUACCGACUGCUGAGACUUCCCCUAAGCAACCUUUGUGAAGGCUCCCUUUUGUUUGUUUAUUUUGACUCAUGUAUAUGUACAUAUUUGUGGCUUAUCGAAAAUAUUAAUAAAUAAGCUUUGCUUCAUUUCAACAUAUUGUGUUAAAUACACCAAAGCCUUCUUCAUAAAGUUCUUUGAAUUUUUGCUUUUGUUGAAACCUGUAUUGUUGAAGCUUUGUGAGUGAAGCAUGUAGUUUGAGGUAGUGUUCCCUUAAUUUCCCGAGUGAGGAAAACUUCUCGGUUGGAGACUUGAAAAAUCCAAGUCACUGAGUGGUUGUGAGACUGCCGAGUAUCAAGGUGCAGUAGCAUAUGGUGGGAGUCCCCCAAGUCUUCAGGCGAAGAGAGUUGCCGAAUGAGGUGUCUCUCGCGUGUUACUAAUUUGUCAAAGUAACGAAUCCUUGUUUCGAUGUCACACAUUCGUAUAUGCUUUAUCUAAAAAUAUUUCCAACUUUUGUGUGUUUGAUGCUGCAUGCUAUUGACUAGACAAGAUCAAGUGCAAUUAGUAGCUUUUCUCUCUUUUUCAUCUUUUCUUUGGUGGAAUUGCUUUUCGUUUCCACUAAUCAGCCUGAGUGGAUGCAAGAUAACACCUUUCUCUAUAGCUCAGAUUGCAAAGUCGUCUUCAUGAAAGUUUUUCCUUAUCUUGUGAACUACAACAUAUCCAAAUUUGAGAUCCAUCGGAGUAGUACAACUUCAGAAAUUCAAGUAUGAUGAGUAACUGUUCAUCAAUGUUCUGUUAAUCCGUCAGACUUGUUGUGAGCUUCGAAACUCCAUUUUCUCUUGUUCAGAUCAACAUACUUUCUUCAUCGAAGUUGUUCCUUAACUUGUGAACUACAACAUAUCCAAAUUUGAGGUCCCUCGGAGCAGUAUAACUCCAGAAAUCCAGGUAUGAUGAGUGACUGUUUAUCAUUUUGUCUGUCAACCCGUCAGAUUUGUUGUGAGCUUUGAAACUCUAUUUUCUCUUGCUCAGAUCAGCAUGCUUUCUUCAUUGAAGUUGUUCCUCAGCUUGUGAACUACACAACAUAUCCAAAUUUGAGAUCCCUCGGAGCAGUAUAACUCCAGAAAUCCAGGUAUGAUGAAUGACUGGUUAUUAUUUUUCUGUCAACCCGUCAGAUUUGUUGUGAGCUUCGAAACUCCAUUUUCUCUUGUUCAGAUCGGUAUGCUUUCUUCAUUGAAGUUGUUCCUCAUCGACUCUUUCAUAACAUAUCAAAAAUUCAGGAUGAACUAACGGUUAAAUAUUUCCAGAUCUUCGAAACAUCACAACAGCUUCGAAAUCUGCAAGAAGCCGACUAUCAUGUUUGGAGCUUCAACACUUUAAUUUCCGUCGCUCAAACAGAAAUGGUUCCUUCUUGAAAGUUGUUCAUAUGCUCAAGAACUAUAGGGUGUCCAAAAUUCAGCUCCAUUGGAGAAGAGCAGAGGUUGCAGAAAUUUGAUAGAUGAAAGGAGGCGGAAGAGGGAGAGAGAGAAAAAGUCUCUUGGGUUGGAUUUCUAUUUUGGGGCAGAUUCCAAUUUUUGUAGCACCUUCAUUAUUGAUGAAUUGCUUGUACUUUUGUCCAUUAUGAAACUUGGGACUUUGGCUUGUUGUUGGAUCUAUUAUAAUAUGUUUGGGAACAUAUAUAAGUGAAUAAAUAAGAAGGAAAAUUUUGGGCCCUUGUGGGUGUAAAACAAAAAAUGUUUAUGUUUACCCAAGUGUUUUUGUACAAGUUCAAGGGCAUCUUGGGUUUUGUGAACAAAAUUUGUUUAUUUGGAGCAAGGUUUUGUGUUGAAGCUUUGUAGGUGAAGCUUUGGUGUUGAAGCUUUCUAGGUGAAGCUUUGAUGGUGAAGCUUUGUAGAUGAAGCUUUGUAGAUGAAGCUUUCUAGGUGAAGCUUUGAUGGUGAAGCUUUGAUGGUGAAAGUAUGUAGAGGGAGCUUUCUAGGUGAAGCUUUUUUAGGUGAAGCUUUGUAGGUGAAGCUUUUUUAAGUGAAGCUUUUCGGGUGAAGUUUUUUUUUUUGGGUGAAGCUUUGUGGGUGAAGCUUUUUAGGUGAAGCUUUUGUGGGUGAAGCUUUGGAGGUGAAGCUUUUCGGGUGAAGCUUUUUGGGUGAAGCUUUUUAGGUGAAGCUUUGUGGGUGAAGCUUUGGAGGUGAAGCUUUUCGGGUGAAGCUUUUUGGAUGAAGCUGUUUUUUUUUUUUUUUUUUUUUUUUUUUUUUUUUUUUUUUUUUUUUGGCGCUUGACACGGUCUUCAUUUGCUUGUUUUGUAGUGACUGUGGAAGACGGAUUGCUUUCUGAUUGAGAAGGGUUCCGGCAUCGCUUGCUAUGAAUGUAAAAGAGUGAGGGCUGAGUUGGCUAAAUUACCUCUUUAUUGAAUUCAUUGCCAAAUGGCCUUCAUUACAUAGGAUGCCGAACGGCUAUAGCUCAACACUUGUACAUCGUGAGUCUAUUUGUAGUAGUACUUCAAGUGAUCAGCGUUCCAUGGAUGGCCAAGGGUCUUGCCAUCGGAGCUUCUAAGUGUGUAAGAGCCAGGGCGACUGAUGCCAAUGACUUCAUACGGUCCAUCCCAGUUUGGACUAAGUGUGCCUUCACUCGGGACUCUGUCGCAGAGUAAUCUUUUCUUUAAGACCCAGUCUCCUAUUUUGAAAGAACGAGGCUUGACCCUAGAGUCAUAAUAGUUGGAGAUGCGCUGCUUGUAGGCGACAUUCCUCAAGUGAGCUUGGUUUCUGUGUUCCUCGACUAAAUCCAAGUUGAGGGUGAGUUGUUUGUCAUUUUCACUUUGAAUGUAGUUCUGGACUCGGAAUGUUGCUUGCUCGAGCUCAACAGGGACAACCGCCUCUGUGCCAAAGGCAAGUGAGAAUGGAGUUUCUCCUGUUGAAGUCCGAUAUGAAGUGCGAUAUGACCAAAGAACUUGGGGUACAAAUUCUGGCCAACAGCCUUUAGCUUUGUCCAAGCUGGUUUUCAAAGUGCGCUUGAUUAUUUUGUUGAUGGCCUCAACUUGUCCAUUAGACUGGGGAUGAGCUGGAGAGGCAAAGCAUAAGUUGAUGUUGAACUUAGAGCAGAACAACCUGAACUUCUUGUUGUCAAACUGUCGCCCAUUGUCAGUGACUAUCGCAUUGGGAAUGCCGAAUCUACAAAGGAUGUUCUUCCACACGAAGUCUUCUAUCUUUGCCUCAGUAAUGGUUGCCAAGGGUUCUACUUCGGCCCACUUUGUGAAGUAGUCCACUGCAACGACUGCGUAACAGACUUUGCCCUUCCCUGCCGGCAUUGGGCCGAUCAAAUCAAGUCCCCACUGGGCGAAGGGCCAAGGGCUGAUCAUAGGAGUAAGAGGCUCUGGAGGGGAAUGAGGAAUAGCCGCAUAUCGUUGACAUUUGUCACAUGAGCGGGAUACUUUGAUGGCAUCCUGGUGGAGUGUUGGCCAGUAAUAUCCUUGGCGAAAAGUCUUGUGUGCUAGGGACCGAGAUCCAGCAUGAUCUCCACAGACUCCCUCAUGUAUUUCCCGAAGGACGAUUUCCGCCUCGGCAGGCGUAAGACACCUUAAGUAUGGCAGGCUAAAACCUCGCUUAUAGAGUUGAUCAUUGAUGAUCAGGUAGCGGGUAGACUUGUAUCGAAUUUGCUUAGCCUGGACUUUAUCAUUUGGGAGGGUGCCAUGAGCAAGGAAAUUAUAGAUCGGGGUGAUCCAACUAUCCCCCUGUUGUAAGUUGCAUACUUCUGCGGCCAUGGUGCUUGGUGUUGCCAACAGUUCGACAUGAAUUUUUCUUCCAAUCUUGUCUUCCACAGCCGAGGCGAGGCGAGCCAGGGCGUCUGCAUGACUGUUUGCCGCUCGAGGAACUUGGGUGAUCUGGUAGUGGAAGUGCUUGAGCAAAAGUUGUGUUUGCGCAAGAUAUGCUGCCAUGGAGCUGUCCUUAGCAUCAAAGUUGUUGGUAACCUGGUUGACCACCUAAUUGGGAGUCACUGAAAAUAUCAAUUUGUUUAACCCCGAGGUGUUUGGCCAAACGUAAUCCUGCUAGAAGGGCUUCAUACUCGGCCUCAUUAUUUGAUGCCUUGAAUUUGAAACGAAGAGCAUACUCCAUUGCUACUUUGUCGGGUGUAGUCAAGACUAGUCCCGCUCCACAGCCCUGUUGGUUGGAUGAGCCAUCAACAUACAGACUCCAUGCUGGGGUUGUUGGUUCUAUCUUCUGAGCUUCCGGGGUAAUGAAGCCACUGCUUCAGGUGUAGAAGCAAUGUCAACCGGAUAUGUGAAGUCGGCAAUGAAGUCUGCCACUGCUUGGCCCUUCUCAGCUGGCUUUGGUUGGUAGGAGAUGUCAAACUCACCCAACGCUAUUGCCCAUUUGAUCAUUCGCCCUGAAGUGUCAGGACUUUGGAGUAUCUGUCGAAGAGGAUAAUUGGUAAGCACGAUGAUGGAGUGCGCUUGGAAGUAAGGGCGGAGUUUUCGAGCAGACAUGACCAAUGCCAGAGCCAAUUUCUCAAUGUUAGAGUACCGUGUCUCCGCAUCUUGUAAGGCUUUGCUAGCGUAGUAGACAGGUCGCUCAAUAUUCCCAUCCUUUCGAAUGAGAACGGAACUUACGGCUGAAGCUGAUACCGAUAGGUAGAUAAUGAGAAUGUCUCCUACCUCGGGCUUGGAGAGUAGAGGGGCUUUACUCAUGUACUCCUUGAGGUUUUUGAAUGCCUCGGCACAUUCAUCAGUCCAUGUAAUGUACUUCCUACUUCCCUUAAGUGCUUUAAAAAAGGGAGCACAUUUGUCUGUGGCCUUAGAAAUGAACCUGGUUAAGGCUGCCACCUUGCCAGUAAGGCUCUGGAUGUCCUUUGAAGUUACCGGUUCCUUCAUGUCGAGGAUUGCUUUGAUCUUCUCGGGAUUAGCUUCAAUGCCUCGUUGGCUAAUCAUGAAACCUAAGAAUUUGCCAGAGCCUACGCCGAAGGCACAUUUGUUGGGGUUUAACCUCAUUCGAUACCUCUUCAAAAUAGUGAAAGUUUCAGAUAGGUUGGUGAUGUGUUGGUCAGCAUGUUUGCUCUUGACUAACAUAUCAUCAACGUAAACUUCCAUGCUCUUCCCAAUCUGCUCGGCGAACAUUGAGUUGACUAGUCUCUGAUAAGUCGCUCCUGCAUUCUUUAGGCCGAAAGGCAUGACUUUAUAGCAGUAUAGUCCUCUGUCGGUAGUGAAGGCUGUGUGUUCUUGAUCCGAAGGGUUCAUGAGGAUUUGGUUGUAUCCUGAGUAAGCAUCCAUGAAGCUCAGGAGUUCACACCCGGCCGUAGAGUCUAUAAGUCUGUCAAUAAGAGGAAGAGGGAAGCUAUCUUUCGGACACCCUUUGUUUAGGUCGGUGUAGUCAACACACAUUCUCCACAAGACCUUUUGAAGCAAAAGACUUUCUUUGGUCGGAUUUUUCCUUAACAAGGACCACAUUUGCUACCCAUGUCGGGUAAUUGACUUCGCGGACAAAGCCUAUGCCUUUGAGUUUUUCAACUUCUGCUUUCAUUGCCUCGUAUCGUUCAGCGUCAUAAGAUCUUCGCUUCUGUCUCACCGGCUUGAUCUUGGGGUCAAUACUCAAACGAUGACAGAUGACAUCGGGAGAGAUGCCUGGCAUGUCCUCGUAUGACCAGGCGAAGACUUCAGUGUUCUCUUUCAAAAAAGAUAUCAAUGCUAACCGAAGGGGUGGUGACAAUGUGGUGCCAAUCUUCACCAUGCGAUCUGGAUAAUCUCUUGAGAUAGGUACCUUCUCCAACUCUUCAGCAGGUUGGGCUUGCUGGGUGAAAGAGUCAUCUCGAGGAUCAUCGGGUUGAUUGUUGCUAUCAGGAAGAUCCAAGUUCGCUUCAUCUAGGCUGGUCUUUGUGACUUGGUCAUGUACAGACAGGGUUUCCUUGGGUCCGGGCAAGUGUUGUUGCUUAACUGAAGUGUUGUAACAUGAUCGUGCACUAAGCUGAUCUCCUCUGAUGUAGCCGUUGCCAUGGGGGGUUGGAAAUUUCAUCAACAGCAUAUGCGUGGAUACCAUAGCCUUGAGAUCAUUGAUGCCUGUGCGCCCAAAGAUGACAUUGUAUGCCGUUGGGCAGUCAACCACUAGGAAGUUAGUGGUAAUGGUAGCCGUGUAAGGGCCUGUACCAAUAGUAAAGGGUAAAUGUAUGCUCCCUAAGGGUUGCACGAUAUCACCGGAGAAGCUUAUCAGAGGAGAAAAUCGAGCGAUCGAGCAAGUGUUCAGCUACACUGAGUGCCCUGAAAGCUUCGGCAAACAUGAUAUUGACCGAAGCCCCUGUGUCUACGAGGAUUCGUCGAACAUCAAAGUUGGCUAUGUGAGCCUCCACGAUCAAUGGGUCGUUAUGAGGGUAGAUGAUGCCUCUUUCUUCCUCAGGGUAGAAACAUAUCGGAUCCCAGUUAGGUUUUUGAUACUUCCCUCCCCUGAUGUCUUCCACGUGAAACACUUGGUGACCAGGCCUCAGACUUCGUUCACUGUUUUUCAUGGCCCUAUUGGAAGAUUCAGAUAUGGGUGUGCCGCCGCUUAUGGAAUAUAUGACAUUCACCUGGCGUUGGUUACGGUUAUCCCUUUGAGGGUGAAGAAGGAAUUGAUCAAUUUUUCCUUCUCGUGCCAAAGCUUCAAUACGAUCACGGAGGAUGAUACAUUUCUCGCUAUCAUGGCCGUUAUGCUCAUGGUAGCAACAAAACAUGCCCGCGUUAUUCGGGGGCGUGUAAUCUGGGUGCCUCGGCUUUGGCUUUGGUAUCAGGUGAGCUAUGCUGGGGUAAAUGGCCGCGCAUGUGGCAUUCAAGGGCGUGUAUGUCUCAUACCUUGGGGUAGGGGGUAUCUUGACGCGGGUUUGACCCACUGCAUUGACUGCCUGGGGGCGAGCGUUAUUGUGGCGAUACCCUUGGUUAUCGGGAUAGUGUCCCUUACUCUUUUUUACUGAAAGGAGAGUGGUGAGGAUGGAAAUCCUUCCUCUUGCCUUGAAAUUGAUAUGUCUGUUGAUUCGGUGAAGCAUUAUGCAAGGCAUGGGGAGGUGCCACUGCUGUUUGGAAAGUCGAGGUCUUCUCAUUUAGGUGAGUCUGGCUUCCACCUCCCACUUGUUGAUAAAGGAUGGUUGUAGGGGGUUUCUCCUGAUAUGUCUUUGCCUCGGCGGAGGCAUGGUUAUAAGCCUGCGCCAUCACCUCAGAGUAAGUCUUCCAAGUAUUGGCAUUGAUCAUGUAUUUAAAGAAACAAUCACGUAGGCCUGCCGUGAAGGCUUUGAGGGCAGUCUUGUCGUCUGCCUCGGCACACCGGGAGUAUUCAUGGCUGAAGCGGCCAGCAUACAUACGUAAUGACUCGUCUGGCUUCUGGCGGAUAGUGUACAGGUCAUCUGCAGAGUGCAAGCGAUCGGUUUGGAAAAUGUGUUGGGAAACAAAUAGUUUCCUCAAUUCCUCAAAUGAGUCUACCGUCUCAGGUGUAAGACGACAAUACCAAUUUAGAGCUCCACUAGAGAGGGUGGAGGGGAAGAGAAGACAUCGCUCUUCGUCGGUGUGCAUCCGGUAUGCCAUGGUGGACUCAAAGAGGUUAAGGUGCUCAAUCGGGUCCUCUUUUCCAGUAUAAAGUUGCAAGCCAAGCUUUUGCUUUGUCUUUGCUUGAAGGGGGGUGUUGAGGAUCCUCCUUGUAAGAGGGCCAGGCCUGGGUUGGUUCCAGUCAGGUAUUUCAGCCUGACGUUCAGCCUUCAACUUGUUUACUUCCUCAAGAAGUUGUAGGACAAGGGGGUCCUGAGCGGAGUUAUGUGUCACUGGAGCUUUCUUUCGUAAAUCUCCAUCUCCUAUUGGAAUUAGGAAGGUUUGAUCAAGGGCAUGUGAUUUUUCCCUGGACUCGCUGUACUGGCUUCCAAGGUAUGUCUGUCGGAACACCUCUGAGUCCCCUGUACCCUCAUGUCUCUCUAGGACUUGUUGCCCCUUCCCCAAAUUGGUGGCCGGCUUGGGCAGUGGCAGGGGACCGAGUCUCUCAGAAAUCCUUGGGUCAUUAAUCUUUGAGCUUAUAUGGAUGGAAUUCUCUCGACGUUGCUUCAGGAAAUCCCGACAAUCGCGAAAGACGGCUUUCGAUCCUUCUGCCCCUUCAGCAAAGAGGUGUCUCCUUCCACUUCUCAUGGUUCGGGUCGAAGCAACUGGGUUAAGAGAAGCCUCAUGUUGAUUAUCAAGUCGAGGGGUAAUCUGUUCCCUAUCAGGGAUAUCUAUGUCGAAUGCAUGUGACCCUCCAUGUUGGAGGGCACCCAGUUGAUGGUUGACUUCCACGGGGGCAACAAGCUCGCGUGUCUGAGCUUGCCUAGCUUCGUGGAGUGUCUCGAAGAGCUUCUCAUAUUGCUCCUGGAGGACCUCAUUCCUCAUUGCUAUCUUGUUGUUCUGAGCUUCCAACUCAUCGACUUUAGCUUGAAGAAGAACUCGUUUUCCUUCCUUCUUUCGUUGUUUUCGCACUAUGUGCAAGGGGGGUGUCAUUCUGUGUGCUGUGGCUUCAUUCGCUUCCCAUGCUGGAGAGGGAUGCCUGAUCAAAAGAAAGUGUACGAAUGAUAGAAACCAGCUUGACACAGCUGAAGAGAGUAGGAAUCAGUGUCGUUUCCCACAGACGGCGCCAAAUGUUGAUGCACAAAAUCAGCGAAGACUUUGGUACAACAGAAAGUGUCAGGUUUUAUGACCUUCGCUUGGUUGCUUCGGUCACUAGUGAGGAUAAGUACGUAAAUGAAUAGAGACAGAGAAGCAAACACAGGAUGUACGUGGUUCACCCAGAUUGGCUACGUCCACGGAGUAGAGGAGUUCUUAUUAGUAGUGAAGGGCUUACACAAGUACAAAGGAUCAAGCUCUCAAUUUAGUGAGUUCUUGUGAAUGAUUUAACACAAAUGGCAUUAGGCAAUAUUGUGGGGGAAUGACCCCUAUUUAUAGAAAAACUUGUAGCUUUGUCACAUUGACAUGUGUCAUGUUAUGAUUGGUUCUUGAUGUCGACAAGUGCUGCGCUCUGAUUGGCUUCUAAUCUUGACACGUGUCGAGUAGUGAUUGGCCUCCUGGUCGGAGGGGAACUCUUCUGGGUCCUUGACAGUAUAGCGUUGGCCGGUGCUCGGUAGUUUCGGGAUUGGUCAAGUAUGGUACAAACAGGUUGGAUCCUAAAAAUCCCGCGGACUCAGAAAGUAAUAACAAAAAUGGCUAAUCUAAUAACGGAUUCCGUAAAAAAAAAAACAAAAAACGUUAAAAAAGAACUAAAGGCAGUCUCUAUGCCAUCUUACGAAAUAAAAUUCAGUGCGAGAAUGCAAAGAUCUGCACAAAUGUGCAGCCUGUUAAUGUCAAUUGCCAGGUCCCUUUAAUCUCAUAGUCCUGGUACAAAUAAAGGGCUUCAAUGAAAUAAAAAGAAUUCAACAGAAGAUUAUACGGAACGUCCUUGACACAAGGUUACCGGCCUCCAUUGCCGCCGGGGCAAAGUAUAGAAAGAGAGAAAUGAGACCAAGUGAGAAACUGGAAGCAGACGCCUGUAGACUUGAAGCCAAUAGCUACAGAGGUAGGUUCAUUUAGCUGCAGACUUCUUUUUUCAUCCUAAAGUACAACAGACCUUCUACCUCCCAUAUGGAUGAUAUCGGCCACUACCUGCACCGCCAUAUCCCCCUCCUCUACUACCGUAAAAGGAAACUCCACUACCACCUCCAUAGCCACCUCCGUAGCCACCUCCAAAACCUGCAUCAUAGCCACUCCCAUAACCACCACCACCAGCUGCCCCACCAGCACCUCCAUAUCCCCCAUAACUCUCACCAGCUCCACCAUAACCACCUCCCAUAUCAUAACCCCUGCUAUAGGCUCCUCCAUAACGGCUUGAAUAUCCUAUGGAAGAUUCUCCCCUAUAAGCCCCUAUACCGCCGCCACCACCGCCACCAUAUACUCCAUAUCCGCCAAAUUCACUGCCACCAUAUCCUCCAUAAGCACUGCCUCUACCACCAUAGGCAGCAGCUGACCUAUAACCACCAGCACCACCAUAACUGCCACCUCCAAAUCCACCAUAGCUUUCUCCAUACCCACCACCAUAUGCAGGUCUAGAAUCAUUAUAACGUUUUGAUGGUGGUGCAGGUUGGUUUGGCUUCUUUGGUUCUGCCUUUUUUAUCUCCACCUACAAGAAAUAACAGAUGAAUCUAAACUAUCAAGCUUCUUGAAUGCUCAUAGAUGCAUUUAGUACAUUACAUGGCCAAACCGUCUGAGUACAUGUAAACUAAUUUCGUGUACAUAUGUGAAUUCUACCUCAGUUUUGUUUGGUCAAGCGUAUUGUAUCAUGGUCUCCUUAUUCGUCACUUCGAAAGUGAAUAAAGCAAUAUGAACUUUAAGUAAUCUACAGGGACUACUAAACCAAGCAACAAUUUAGUGCAACCCAUUACAAAACCAUUCUUCCACAUUGAUCAGCGAAAGCAGAAAAUUAAAAAGAGGAUGCAUACAGCCACAUCAAUGCAUAGAGACCCACUACACGAUGCAUACAGCCAACCCACCUAUAUAAUCAAAACUUGGCGGCACUUCAAAUUUGAAAUUUUCUUCCUCUCUCACGACAUAGGUUAGCUAUUAAGGAAUAACAUUUCAAGAGCGACAAAUUCCACCAAAAACAUCCCCCACGUUCCAUUUCUACUGUGAAUUGGUAAUAUUAUCGAUGCAUAUGUUAUAUGAUCCUCAAACUCGCUGUAGCAUGACUAUUUAUUUAUUUAUUUAUUUAAUAUCCUUUACCUCAACUUCAUCUGUUUUUCUGUUGAGUAAAGAUAAAGGUCGUACCCAGUGCACAAGGCUCCCGCUUUACGCAGGGUCUGGGAGAGGUGAAUGUCGGCUAGCCUUACCCCCAUUUAUGGAGAGGCUGCUCCAAAGUCUCGAACCCGAGACCUACCGCUCAUGGGCGAAGGCACUUGCCAUCGCACCAAGUGCGACCUCUUUCUGUUGAGUAAAGAUGAUAAAUUUAAAAUUCAUCCCACAACCUAAGAAAUGGAAAAAAGAGAGGAGGUGAAUGUACAAAAUCCUUGCUAUGCCCUCUAUAUUUAAUAGAAAAAUAAAUUGAGUUAACGGAUAUAAUUGAAGUACCACAUGAGAUUGUGUUUGAGAACCACAAUAAGGAAAAAAAGAAAAACUAUCCUAGAAUGAAGGUAAAAUUCGUGUUCGUGACAACAAUGUCGUAUAUCUGAAAAAUAAUUCAAGUAGAUUAAGAUGUUAGUACACAAUCGUUUAUCUUGUUUAUUGAACAAACAACAAGGACAACAAUGUCGUUUUCUCUCUUUCGAAAUUCAUAAGCAACAAAAUUGAGAUUUUUAUUAAACAAUCACAUGAGCUUAGAAAAUACCACAUCAACAUUUUGCAAGCAGUCUCAUAAGAAAUCCCAAUCAAGAUAAAACCAUUCAACAGUUUAUUAGAUUUCUCCUUUCAUAUAAGAGCAUGGUUCGGAGGAUUAUUUAAUUGACGUUAUAACAUCUUUAUUCAAAGAAAAAAUGAAAAAGAAAAUAGGGCAUCCCUAAGGUAUAGGCCACAGCCACUGUUGCCACUGUUGCCACUGCUCCAACCACGGCAGCAGCUUAACAGCUCCCCUAUCAAGCUUAACAGCUUCCCUAAGGCAUCCUUCCUGGCAUCGUUCUCACUAUUCUCAAUCUGAUUGCCCUUUUCUUGUGGCUUAUCCUCGAUUUCAUCAACUUCAUCAGAAGAUGCUCCGAUUUGGCCCCUGUAAGGAAUGAAAUUGAAUUCCGUGUUCAGCUAUUUAAAUAUUCAACUCUUAAGUUUUGUCAAUAGCAAUUGAGUAAGAAUAGGUAUGAUCAAGCUUAAUAAACAAAUCACAACCACAUUACAAAUCAAAAACAUAUACAGGGUAAUGCAGUUAUAUCCAAUUCUUUUGUGCUUUCUCCACAAAAGUUCUUCCAUGUUAAUGUAACUCUAUAUCAAUUAAUCUAUCAUACAAGACUAUACAUAAUCAGCAAUUGAAAACUAUGACAACACAAGCUUCCGUCCAGUGAAAAUUUUAUCCAAAGAUAGGCAAAACCAAAAACGUACAAACCUCCACAGACGUUCUAUAAUCUUUCCCUUCCCAAUAUGCUCAUCAAGCAAUUCCGGCACAUCAUCAGGAGUGACGUCGCCAUACCUGCAAUUAAUAAUACAUAGUAUUCAAAUUCCAUCGAUCCCAAUACAACAAAAUUUUAAAUUGUUAUGAUCUGAAUAUUACCAAUGGCCCGUUAUGCUUCCAUUUGAACCUGGGCUAUAGAUAAUCAAAUUUCCAUCGUGGCCUCCAGUGUGAAAGCAAGCAUCAGUAAAUACCUGAUUCGUCAAUCCUCGUAGCUCAGCCUCCUCUUUAAACUUAUAAAUGAGAACACGUGCACUAUCACCAAUCCAUUCCUCUCGACUACCUUGUGCACAUACAAAUACAUGGGAGCCAGUCAACGACUCUUGCACUCCGGAAGCCCAUGGCUUGUCAUUCACAAGGACAUCAUCAACAAAGCUGUCCACAUUCGACUCUUUCAAGCCCCUUUGAUCAACAAACAAAAA
rnacentral:lncRNA from 1 species